rnacentral:lncRNA from 1 species
CCCCCCCCCCCUUUAGGGGAGUACUAAGAUUUAGCACUACGACGAUCUACCUGUAGAUGUUUUACCACUUCAUCUAUGGCAUCUUCUUACAUUAUCAAUGAUCGUUACUGGCUUUAUGGCAAUCCUUCUGUACCAAUGACAAUAAAAUUCCUUACUUAUGAUGGUGAGACCUAGUAUAAUUGGCACACACAGUUCCUUAAGUUUAACUUUAUUCACAUUGCUUGUUUUAGGGAAACAUCUGCCUGAAUGACCAUUCUCUGAAUUUCUCAUGAAUCUUCUUCUGUGGUCCAUUCUAUUAUUGUUGGAACGCAAUCUGAAAUUGUUAUGAUGCUGACUAUUAUCAAAUCACUUAGCCCCUAAUUCAUGUUUAGCUUAUCUUGUUCACCAAUCCAUACUAGUUUCUAUUACUCUAGGGUCUAACUUUUCCUUUUAGUAAUUGCGUCAGAGUUGCGAACUUAUUUCUCGAAAUGAGGAUAUGACUUUAUGGCCUAUACUCUUUUGUUGUCUCAAGGCCUGUCACCUCUCGUCUUUUCCUUCACUUUACUAUAGAUUCUACCAUCUUUUUGACCUACCAUUGUCAUCCAUGUAUCACAUCUUACUCUUAAUGUUUCAUUAGCUCUCUUCUUAUUUCCUGCUAACAUUUCUGUCUAUCACUUUAUUCUAAAAAUUUUAACAGGACGUUCCUUUGCUUUUACCUCCCCUUGCUCCAUCUACUAGCUCAUUGGGUUGCCUAACAUUCUUUCUUUACUAAGGAUGGGAGCCAUAUUAAGGUAAUAUUUAUCUCUUCAAGGCUUAUAGUGCAUGUCUUUGUAGUGCUCAUAUCUGGCUACACUAUUUCAGAGUGCACCAUCUGGUGUCUCAUAAAGAGAUCUAUUAGUAUAUUUGCAAUAUCCUUCGGAAAUGUCAAUUGAUGCAAAUAAUUCAUCCAUCAUAUCUUCUUAUACUACUUCUGUUAAUCUCCAAAGGGCAUAUCUAGAAUGGGUGCGGCCAAUUGUAUAUACCUCUAUUACUAUUGAAUAUAACUCAAAAAGCUUAUGUUCCCCUGCCUCAAUUAUAAACACAGGUAGCCUUCAUUAAUUGGGUGCCUCGUACCCUUCUUCAUUUUGCUUCUUUUGCUUGUUGAAACCUGUAUUAAUCUUCUUAAUCUCUCAUUGUCUUUUACCAUAAAGAUGGAUAGACAUUCUUGCCUUAAGGCUUCUUAUCAGGAAGCUUGCACCUUUCAGUACACCCAUGAUCUGCUAAACACCUCACAUUUACUUAUCGUAGGCAUUAUACAAAAAUCCAAUUCCUCUAACUCAGCUCUUCCACAACUAUCUCUCUUUCCAAUCCUUCUUUCCGGAUGUAGGUAUUGUCUUAUUACGAAUAAUAAUAAUAAAAAAAUUUCGGAAUUUGAAUUCUUAUAAGUGAGCUCUUACCACAUGAUCUAGAGUAAGAAGAAAGAGUGACAAUCCUAAAUGCCCUGUAGCCUCCUGCUUAUAAGUGUGGUGCACGACACACCCAUAAAUAAGACUCUACUAGACAUGGCUUGUAGACAUCCCUAGGAAAGAACUGCUCUGGUACCACUUUUUGUCACGACCCAAAUCGAUGGGCCAUGACGGGCACCCGGUACCUUACUCGACCGAGUAUCAAUGUAACGUAUCUUUCUUAUUACAUCAUCAUAUACACGUGACAUACAGGCCUAAUAGGCCAACAUGAUCCUUUAUAAACCCAAAACAUAGGCCGACAAGGCUGUACAAUCUUUAACGUACAAGACAUAUGUCUACAAGCCUCUAAGAGUACAUAAAUGUCAUAAAGGUAGGUACAGAAUCCCGCCAUACCAAACAAUACACAUCUAAAUCAUACUAACCAAACACAUAACUCCGAAGCAAAUGGAGCGCACCAACAUCUUCCGCAGAGCUGAUAGCCUACUUAGAGGGCUCUCGACCCAUCUAUCUGGACCUGCGGGCAUGAAACGUAGUGUCUCCAGGCAAAAAAGGACGUCAAUACGAAUAAUGUACUGGGUAUGUAAGGCACAUAAAUAAGUACAUAACAGACAUGGAAGAAAUAUAGAGUAAUUGACUCAACCUGUAUGUUUGGAUAACUCUUUAAAUUAUAAAUUACUUUUAGCGCCAUGCAUAUGUGUAUGAAUGUCAUGUCGUGCAUAGGUACGUGUUUCAUAACAUCAUCAGCCUCUGAGGGCAUCCCAUCAUAUCAUAUCGGCCACUGUAGGCAAAAUCAUCAUCGUAUACUAGCUGAUCAGGCGGCGGUGCGUAUAUAACACCAUAACCUUUCCCAUAUCCCAUAUACAUAUAUAUAUAUAUAUAUAUAUAUAUAUGCAUAUAUAACACCGUUUGAAUCAUAUUUCAGCCACUAUGGGCAACAUCAUCAUCAUAUACUAGCUGAUCAGGUGGUGGUGCUUAUAUAACGCCGUAACCUUUUUCCAUAUCCCAUAUACAUAUAUUUACACAUAUACGUGUAUAUAACGCCAUUUGGUCAUGGGUCAAUGCACAUGAGUGAAAUGCAUGAAAAAUACGUAAUAAUCUCUGUAUUCCUUCCGGAUAAACUUUUUCAAAUGUGUAUUAUUCUAAGACCCAUGAACAGAAAAUAAUAAUUAUUUCAUGGGGAAUCAAGAAUAUAGACACCCCUAAUAAUUUUAUGAAUAGAGUAAUUUAUGGAAACUGUGUAUUUGCUCGUUUCUUCAAUAUAAUUUGGACCAUAACAAAAUAAAGAAGGGAGAGUCUUAACAUACCUGAUAUUCUGUGUCUGGCCAAAAUCAGUGUACUCGAUAAUGUCUCUUUUGGGCAAAAGACCAAUUAGUGCCAAAAUAAAAAUAUCUGAUCUCUCAUCCCUUUAUCACUAGUCCUUUGCCCCUCUCAAAAAAGAGAUAUUUCCCUUUACACCAUUAAUCAUAUAUUUCGUUAGUUCUUCCAAGAUUUCCAAGAGAUUACCUUAGAAAAAGAUGAAGUGACGUGGGUUUAAAGAGGUAAGAAAUAAUGCCUAACCUCCUUGGCUUCUAACAGAGAAAAGAAUGCGUCCUUUUUUUUUUUAAUAAAAAGUAAGUAAUGGACAAUUUUCUUAAGGAAUCUUUGUUGCUAAGUAAAGAAAGAAACUUACAUUUGAAAGAAGCUCAUAUCUACAAAUGCAAGGCUAAUAUUUUUGGAUCUUGUUUGUGUAGGAAAAUAACUAGAAAUGAUGUGUCUUGGUACUACACAUCAUACUUGACACCUAAGUUUAUGUGGCUACUUAGUCAUUUGCAUAAAUAGUGGCCUAUUACCACGUUUUGGGGGGGGGGGGGGAUUCUUCGAUAUUAUCUAAUAAUUUAAUCAAUUAAUUAGAUAAUAUCCCGCUACACGGUAAUUAAUCAAUUACCCGCAUAAUUGAGAAUUAUUUCCACUUACUUAAAAUACUACUCACUUUUCACACACCUUAUAUACCUUACUAUCAUGGUCAUGUGGUACCUCGUAUGGCACGAAUCCAUAAAUACCGAGUAUUUUAGCUCGGGAUGUAUUUUAUCCCAACAUGCCAAACUUGGACGAAAAUUCGUCUUCUUUGACUUGCUUCCCCUCUCACCUUCACGAAUUUACUUAUCACUUUGUUUGAAAUAGCAUAAUGCUUACACCAGCUGUAGUUAGUGGACAUGGUAAAGCUAGAGGUCGAGGUCAGAAUGCCAGGGGUAGAAGGGGAAAUGCGAGAGGUAAUUAGGCUCUUGGGCGGACCACUAGAUAGGCACAGGAUCCACCUCAGCAGGUUGAUAAUGAUCAUGUGGAAGUCACACCCCCUCUUAACCCACUUAAGGCGAAUCAACCACAGCAGUAGGAUGAUCGAAUUGAAAGAGUUUUGGACUUUUUGGAGUCCCUAGUCCCUCCGGUUGGUGGUCGGGCUGCAACUAUUCAUUUGCUCCUCCUCACGACCCUCAUGAUUCAGAUGAAUAGAUUUUUGAAUGUCAUUUUUAAGCCCUACCUGGGGUACCACCACCAGUUGUCCUUGUAAAUAUUACCCAUGUGAUGACUCGAUCGAUCAUUUUAAUUUCUAGCCCUUAUUUCCGUUAUCCGAGACCUCGAUUAUCUCCAUUUUGUAUUUUUCUAUUUGCGUGCACAGUCCAUAUCUUUUUUUUGAAAAGAUUUUAUGUGAAAAAUUAAAGAAAACAUGAAUUUUAGCUUUAUAAUUUUGGACUAUACCACUUUUGCCACGACCCAAUCUAAUGGUCCAUGACGAGUCCUUGAGUCUUACUUGUCGAAUACUCCUAAGCAUACGUCUAAGAUAUAAACAUGAAAUAGGGGUAGGUCAAGCAAAACAUUUGUCAAUGAACUGCUGAAUCAUGUGAAUAACAUACAUGAGUUAUAUAUAUAUAUAUAUAUAUAUAUAUNUAUAUAUACAUAUNNNNNNNNNNNNNNNNNNNNNNNNNNNNNNNNNNNNNNNNNNNNNNNNNNNNNNNNNNNNNNNNNNNNNNNNNNNNNNNNNNNNNNNNNNNNNNNNNNNNNNNNNNNNNNNNNNNNNNNNNNNNNNNNNNNNNNNNNNNNNNNNNNNNNNNNNNNNNNNNNNNNNNNNNNNNNNNNNNNNNNNNNNNNNNNNNNNNNNNNNNNNNNNNNNNNNNNNNNNNNNNNNNNNNNNNNNNNNNNNNNNNNNNNNNNNNNNNNNNNNNNNNNNNNNNNNNNNNNNNNNNNNNNNNNNNNNNNNNNNNNNNNNNNNNNNNNNNNNNNNNNNNNNNNNNNNNNNNNNNNNNNNNNNNNNNNNNNNNNNNNNNNNNNNNNNNNNNNNNNNNNNNNNNNNNNNNNNNNNNNNNNNNNNNNNNNNNNNNNNNNNNNNNNNNNNNNNNNNNNNNNNNNNNNNNNNNNNNNNNNNNNNNNNNNNNNNNNNNNNNNNNNNNNNNNNNNNNNNNNNNNNNAAACAUAUAUAUAUGGGUGGGGGGGGGGGGAUGGAAUACGGUAGGACGAGCUGACAAGGCUAUUAUGAACAACUAUAUAUCAAAAUAGAAGCUAACAAAGCCACAUACUAUCCAACUAUACAUGACUAUCUACAGACCUCUAAUGGAGUUUACAACUAUAUAAAGGGUGGGACUGGGUCCCGUCAUACCCAUAUAUGCAUACAAAAAUAUCAUACCAAAACCUAAUAGCAACUCCGGAUCAAAUGAAACACACCAACUUUCGCUGAGCAAGGAUCCUAAAACAAGGGACCAUCAUCCUGUCUACCUGUACCUACGGGCAUGGACGUACGCCAGGAAUUAAAUUCAAAAGUACCUAACCUAAUUUGACUUGAUUUGUUGAAAACUAGUAGUUUGAAGGUUUAAAGAUUUCCUAUGUUUGACCGUAGGUUGACUGUAUGGCUACCAGGUUCCGAUUUUGAUUCCGGGACUUGGUAUAGGACCAUUUUACUAUUUGAUACUUGUCUGCAAAAUUUGGUACAAUUCAAAAUUGGUUUGAAAUGGUCCAGACGCUUAUAUGUAAUUCUAGUCGUUCUUAAGUUUCCUUUUAAAUUUCAUCCAUUUUGAGGUUUGAUUUGUUGAUUUAGAUGUUAUUAGUGAUUUGAUCGCGCGAGAGAGUUCAUAUGAUGUUAUUACACGUAUGUGCAUGUUUGAUUUGGAGUCCGAGGAGCUCAGGUGAGUUUUGGAUGUGUUCGGAUGAGUUUGGAUAGUGCAAAGAUUGCUGAUGUAAUGCCCAGUUCUGGUGUCUGAUGCAGAUCUCGCAUUUGCGAGCCUCGCUUUCGAAACAAUUAUUUGCAUUUUUCGAGCAGGUCUGGGAUUGAGUAAUCUCGCAAUUGCGAGGAAACAAUUCGCAAUUGCACAUGCUCAGGAUUUCUUUUGCAAUCACUUGGUCGCAUUUGCGAUGCCUGACAUUAGUAAUGCAUCUUCGCAUUUGCGAAGAUUUUUGGCUGCAAUUGCAAAGGUAGGAUCUUCACAUUUGCGAUCUUUAUGUCGUAAUUGCGACUUAUAGACUUAUGUGGCAGGGUUGCAUUUGCAACCCUUGUCUCGCAUUUGUGAUGCUCCCAAUUGCGAAUAAGUCUUCGCAAUUGCAACAUUUGUAGUUUGGUAAAAGAGGAGAAAAUUAGGACUUAGCUUAUUUUACACCAUUUCUCAAUCCUAAACACUUUAGAGGCAAUUUUUCAAAAGGAGUUUCUCCCCAAAAUUAUUGGUAAGCAACUCUAAUCCAUUUUUCAAUUACCCAUUACUUUUAAUGGAAUUUCAACAUCAAAUUUAGGAUUUUCAUGAUAGAAAUUAAGGAUUUCGGUAGAAAUUAAAGAUUUUGUAAAAUUGAGAUUCAGACCUCUAAUUAGGGUUGAAUUUAAAAAUAAAUCACAUAAUCGGUCUCGGGGGUGAAUGGGUAAUCAAAUUUUGGCCCGAACCUCAGGUUUUGACCAAGAAAACCAGGGGUUGACUUUUUCAAUAAUGAUCAAAAUUGAAACUUUUCAUUAAUGGGUAGUUUCUAAAGCUUAUUUUGCAUCAUUUGAUCGAUAAUUUACUAGAUUUUGUUGGCUUGGAGGUUUGCUCGAAAGGAAAGGCCGUGGUUGAUUGAUUGUUUUGAUUCGCGAAGUGAGGUAAAUGUUGGGUCUAACCUUGACUUAAGGGAAUUAGGAAUCCUUGAACUAUGUGUUAUGUCAUUUAUAUGAGAAAACGGCGUAUAUGCGAGGUGACGAGUGUAUAUCGCCGUCAUGAUAUUUGUUUCCAUGUUUUCAUUUAUUUCAUGAUAUAUCUUGCUUCAUGUCUUAAUUUUUACCUGCUUUAUUUGACUUCUAUGCCAUAAUUAUUACUUGUCAUUUGAUUAUUCUUGUACUAAAUUGUCCGUCCCUUCCAUGACUCCAUGCUUAUUUGCUACUUGUCUCUACUUGCUUUACUUGCAUAUCUAAAUUUUCAUAUGCCUUACUUGUCUUAUUGUUUUGUAAUAUUUGUUGCAUUAUAUAAUGUGGUUUCAUGUACGUGAGUUGUUUAGUAGAUAGAUACCGAUGAACUGGUAAAGUUGAGACUUUGUUAGAGAUUCUUUGAUUAUUAUGUGAUUCUUUAUUACCUUUUACAUUUACCCUCUUGAUGUAAAAUUUCUUGUAAAUUUGGAUGUUUGAAUUGUUUAUGGUGAUCGAAAUUUUUUGGGGAGCGGGUUGCACGCCGCAACGGAAAAUGAAAUGUAAGGAAUUGAAAUGAUGGAAUAAGGAUAUGUAGACAUGUAAUUAUGACCCUCCUCGAGAUUUUACACGUUUUAGCAUUUAAAUAUUUAGUUUAGGUCUAAUAUCGCUAUUUUAACUAGUUAUGACUCUUUUACUUUACUUUAUUUUAUAACAAAAAUGAAAAUCACAAAAAGGUUAUUAGUCUUUUUAUAAUGAUAUUAUUUUAAUUCUACUAGGAUUUUAAGUUACUUAUCUUCACUUUUAUUUUGAUAUAAUUUUCCUAAAAAUACAAAAAAAAUAGCUCCGAGUCAUAAUAUAGUUCGAAUUAAUUAAUUAGAAAUAACUUUACAAUUUUAUAGUAUAUUAUUUUUGAAAAAAAAUAUUUUUAGCCUUGUAGAAUUAAAAAGCCACUUUUAAAGGCAUUUAUACCCCAAAUUGAAGCCCAAUUCGAGUGCUAAACAGGCCCAAAUCUGGGCAGCCCAAUGUCACGACCAAAACCGACCCGGUCGUAAUGGCGCCUAUUGCGAAACUAGGCCAGCCGACACAACUCCCGAAUCAACCAUUAUUCAAUAAAAGUUAUUUUUAUACCAUUUAUUAAUCAAUAAUCUCAUGAUGUAAAUCUAAAAGAAUAGUGCGGAAUAAAUACACAAGCCCGACAUUAGGGUAUCACUAGUCAUGAGCAUCUACUAAAAUCUAGAUAUAACAAAAAGUUUGAAAAAUGUACAAAAUACAGUCUAAUGAAAACAAGAGGGAGAAAAGCUGUGCCGCGAACGCCAGACAGCUACCUUGCUAAAACUCCGAUGACUCUGCAUUUGAGCGAUCAACACCCGCUACCGGGUUCAGAAAUACCUGAAUCUGCACACAAGUUGCAGGGAGUAAUGUAAGUACUCCAACUCAGUAAGUGAUAAAAGUAAAUGAAUAUUGAGCAGUAAAAAAUCACGUAAACCACGUCAUAGCACCACAGUGAUUAUAGCAUAUUCCCAAAACAUGAUACCAUUCAAAUCAUUUUGUUAAACUUCCAACUUCAGUAAAAUCCUUUGGAAAAUAUCUUUCUAACCUUCUCAAUAGAGGUGUAAUGAUAUAUAUAUAUAUAGUGAAAGUGAUGAAAAUCAUAAUCGGCCCCUCGGGCAAAGCAUAGUUCGUAUACAGCCCCUUGGCAAAAUAGAAAUUCAUAACCAUUUCAUAAAUUAAAAACUUCAAUUUAAAUGAAAGUUGUUUAAAGAAUUUGUUCAACAUUUUCAAUAGAGGCUCGGUCUAAAGAUGAGUAAAAGUAGUAAUUAAAUCAACAUAUUCGAUAGAAAACUCACUUUAAGGAGGAACAGGCCCCUCAGGCAAAGCAUCACUCAUGUACAUGUAUAUAUAGCCUCUCGGGCAAGCCUCUCAGUCACUCGUGACUCAACUCUUACCAAUCAGUGCUCAUACUCAGCACUCACACUCAAUAUGUACCAUAAAGUAACCGCUGUGACGUGCAGCCCAAUCCAUAUAUCGCUGCGUCGUGUUGCCCGANNNNNNNNNNNNNNNNNNNNNNNNNNNNNNNNNNNNNNNNNNNNNNNNNNNNNNNNNNNNNNNNNNNNNNNNNNNNNNNNNNNNNNNNNNNNNNNNNNNNNNNNNNNNNNNNNNNNNNNNNNNNNNNNNNNNNNNNNNNNNNNNNNNNNNNNNNNNNNNNNNNNNNNNNNNNNNNNNNNNNNNNNNNNNNNNNNNNNNNNNNNNNNNNNNNNNNNNNNNNNNNNNNNNNNNUGCGUCACCUCAAAAGUAGCACAACGAUGUGAAGUCCGGGGGUUUCAUACUCUUAGGGUAGCAUUUACAAUCAUUACUUACCUCUAUCCGGUCCACACUCUAGUCCGCGAUGCCUUUGCCUCUCGAAUCGGCUUCCAAAUGCUCCAAAUCUAACCAAAAUUAGUAUAUUUUCAUCAAUAUACGCUAAAGGAACAAAGCCUAGGCGAAAAUAAUCAAAUUAACUCAAGAAUCCCGAAAUUGCUCAAACCCGGCCCCCUGUCCCACAUCUAGGAACCCGACAAGAAUCAUAUCAAUAGAAUCCUCAUCCUUCCACAAGUCUUUACAUAUCAAGAACAUCAAAAUCGGACCUCAAUUGGCCACUCAAAUCCCCACUCAAAGGUCUCUUAAUCUCAAGCUCUAAUUACCCAUUUUUGCACUGGUUUUCCCCAAAAUUUCACCACUAGUUAGGCCUUUAAUCACAUAUAAACGAGUUAUAAAGUCAAAAAUCUUACCUUCACGAGAUUAUCUUUGGUUUCCUCUUCAAUUAUCUCUCCAAAGCUUUCUCCCAAAUGAAAUACGGUGAAAACUCCCUCAAAAUCGCGAAGCGAACCUUUUUAUAUUUUCUAACCCAGGCAUUUUUGCACCUGCGGUACUUUUGCUGCUUUUGCAGUCCUUUCGCCGCUUCUAUGGUCCUGUUUCUGCGGCUAUUCCACCGCAUCUGCAGUCUUCACUAAAAUGACCAUUCCCACAACUGCGUUUAAAAACUCGUACAUGCGCUACCGCAGGUGCGCCCACUUCAUCGCUUCUGCAGUUCCUGAAGGACUUCUACUUGGCCGCAUCUGUGGCUCCCUUUUCGCUUCUACGUGACCGUACCUGCGGUCACCUAGCCGCAGGUGUGAUUAUGACAGUAAUGGAUUAUCUUCAGAUGCCAAAACCAACUCCCAAACAUUCUGCCAAGCAUCCGAAAACUCAACCAAAAGCACAAACACAUCAUAUACCACUACUCAAACUUGUACCAAUAUUCAAAACACCUCAAACAACACCGAAUCAACCAAACUCACAUCGAAAUCAAACCUAAGAUUCCAAAAUCUUCUGAAUUCUGCUUUUUAUUAAAUAGUCUGCCAAACCACGUCCGAGUGACCUGAAAUUUUGCACACACAACCUAAAUGACACCACGUACCUACUACAACUUCUGGAAUUCCAUUUCAACCACUAUGUCAAAAUCUCACCUAUCAACCGGAAAAUGCCAAAAUCCCAGUUUUGCCAAUUCAACCCUAAACCUUCCACGGACCUCCAAAACACAUUUAGAUCACGCUCCUGUGUCCUAAAUCACCUAACAGAGCUAACCAAAUCAUAAAAUUCCAAUACGAGAUCAUAUGCCAAUAAGUCAAACUUUCAAAUUUUAAACUUCAAACUAAGGACUAUUCUUCCAAAUUCAUUUCGAUUACUCUGAAAAACCAAAACCAACGAUUUACAUAAGUCAUAAUAUAUCACACGAGGCUAGUCAUGCCCAAGAACUAGCGAGGGAAGUGCAAAAGCUCAAAACGACCGGUCGGGUCAUUACAUCCUCCCCCACUUAAACAUAUAUUCAUCCUUGAACGUGCCCAGAGUUGUUCCGAAAACCAUCAAAUCGCUGUGUAACCUUACCAUGCAUAUACCCGGGGGUAAUCCCAAGUCACCUUAUUUUAUAUAGGUCCGAUACCACAAUAUAACUGAAAUUUCACAAUCCAACCUAGCCAAGAAACCUUAGAACCCCAUUUCCACUUCUGAAAUCAUCUACAAGAUUAGAAUCUCACAUCUAUACUCUGAAUAAGCCCGAAACAGCUGUAAUAAGCCAUACCUACAACACCAGGUGCAAUUACAUGACAUACUACAUAACUCAAACACUUGUAGCGAUUAUUCCUAAUCACAGCAGCUGCACACAACCACCGAAUACCGAUUGUAAACCUCUUAUCAACUGAAGCCUUAUUCCAACACUUCUAUAUACUGCCAAUGAUAAUGAAACACGUAGAAAGUCAUACCCAUUCCUUAUAUCAACAAUUCGUGAAGCCACUUCUCCUUUGGCAAGGACGAUAGCAAAUUUCUGAGCCGAACCUCGAUAUUAUCCUUCCAACAUGCUGAAAUCAAAUCCAUUUGUAUUCAUUAUAGAUCCCAACAAUCUUAUCUAAGCCAACACAACUACUCUGGUGACAUGACACAUCAAUAUGAACUAAAUCCAUAACUUGUGCAAUUCACACACCAAUAAGCAACAAUCUUGAUAUACUCAAAUCAUGAAAAAUGACUCAAAUGAAAGAGCUGUACCACAAGCUCACCCAUACCACCAUAACACAAUGCUGGGAACCUGUCACACAUCGUGGAAACAAAACACACGAAUCUAACCCGAAAGGUCGUACCUUCACAUAACUUCACUGCAAUACGCGACCCUAUCCAAACACUGGUCCACAUGAAACACCUCCAGUCACUCUGCUCAAAAUCGACAACCACGUGCAAUUUGAUGUCUAGAACAAAAGUAAAUCAUCAUAACCAUGGUGAAGCAAAUACAUAAUACCACACAAACCCAAAAGGACAUAACCGAUACGCCAUCCACCGAGCAAUACCCAGUACUCUUCCCGCUCGACUUCCACUAUGAAACCACAAUGGAACCGUACCAUAUGUGCCUAUAACCAACAAAUCAUAACGUCUCGCAACACUAAAAGUUACUCAUAGAUCACCUCAGAACACUAAUAGCUCAAUAACAGCCGGAUCAACACAUCCCUCACCAAUAGCAAUUCGAAGUCAACAAAGCCGUCUCGAUACAGAACACACAUCCAUAUAGGUCUACUAAUGAACACCUUACCAGGGAGUCCCUGAAGCUUCUUCUUCAACUCCUCUAACUCCGCCGGUGCCAUACGAUACGGUGCCCAACAUGAAAUCAAUACCGAAAUCAACAACCUUGUCGGGCGACAUGCCCGAUAGUAGGAAACACAUCCGGAAAAAUCCCUCAUCACUAAAACUGAAUCAAUGGUAGGAGUCUCUGCACUUACAUCCAUCACGAAGGCCAAAUAAGAAAAACAACCCUUCCCAGCCAUCCGCUGGGUCUUCAAAAAUGACACCACUCUACUGGGAACAUAAUCUGUUGAGCCUCGCCACUCAAUCUGUGGCAUUCCUGGCAUAGCCAACAUUGCCUCCUUAGCACAAUUGUCCAUAAUAACAUGACACAGAGACGACCAGUCUAUACCCAAUAUUACAUCAAAAUCUAACAUACCAAGCAACAAAAGAUCCACUCGGGUCUCCAAACAUCGAUAGUCAUUACAUAGUGCCGAUGCACGCGACCCACAACCAUAACAUAACUUGUUUAUGAGAACUCUUAGUCUGCAGCUCCAUAUAGCACACGAAUCACCAUAUCCGAUCCCAAUUCUGCCGUCCGAAUACAUACUACACCUCUAAUGCCCAAUCAUUCCACAAGAGAUACUAAAAAUAAUUCUUCCGUUCCACCAGCAACUAUGUACUCAACUAUCCAAUAACUUUCCAUUGAUUCCAUCUAGAAGAAAAUCACUACACAUCCCAUGAUCCUUAUGCUCGUAGAAAACACGCAUCUCUAACCAUGGCAAAAUCCAUCAAGAACUCUCCAAAUUCCAUUUGCACAAAACUAAACCGUCAGGAGUGAAUCCUUCUAACUCAACCAUGCUACGCAGGUCACUAAAAUUCAAGAGCAUUGCUGCGAAACACCUGUAGAAACUCUUUACCUCAUAAGUACCCAAAGAACUCAUCAUAUACUUUCCCAUGCCGAGCCGACCUACUACCAAGCUAUCCCAUCUAUACAAGUUCCUCUGAAUUUACCUUCGACUUGAUACUUAUUCUUGUUAUCACAUCACAAUCCUUGACCCAGACUCACCACACGAGACUCGAGCAUAACACCACACCGUCUAAGGCUCAUAAGCCAAUGAAUACUCUCUUAAAUAUUCCCAAAAGCACCAUAUUCAAAAUACCUACCCUGAAGAGACUUCCUGCGAAUCCAAAGCCAUUACCUUCAAGUUCCUGAUAUUGAUAUAUAGAAUCCCAUAAUUGAUAUAGAAAUGCCACAAGUCUUGACACCCUCCAAUGCAAACCUCAGCUCCUAGCCAAAUAUACAACCUUAAAAUAUCCAAUCAUUACACGAAAAAAUAAAUCUUUGACCCACUAGAACCAUUCUCGAGAGUCCUCCUCUCUACUCAAACUGUAAUUAGAUUGAUCAAAUGAACCGAACAACCUGUGCCUCAUUAUCACUCUAACACGGUAGAAUAUAACCUCACCUUAAUGCAACCAAGAAACUUCCUAUUCUACACACCGAGCAUCCUUUACCAAUAACACCUCAAGUCAUUUUGUGACUCUCAUAUACCCAUAAAACAUAACAUAAUAUUUAUUGAAAUUUCCUUUACUCGAGCCAUCCUCGGUCUCAACCUCUGUAAUACAUAACUGAUUCACCAGUACACCUCAAACUGGAACCAAGAUAACGCAUAAAUGUGCAAUCACCUAAUCAAUAGCAGACUCCCCCACUUGGCUCAAAGCCUUAGAUCAAAACACACAAUAACUCAUAAUGCAUAUGCUCUAUUACUGCCAUAAUACCAAAGUGAGAUUAAACUCCAUACUUCAUAGCUCGUGAAUUACAGACCAUCUAGUACUUUAAACCUCUGCAAAUCUCGCGUUUACCCUCAUAACAGUCAAGCUCACUCUCUUAAGCGACCCUAAAUUUAAAUUUCCACACAUAUAUUUCACUAGUAAAAGGGGUCUUCCAAUAAACAACAUAAGGAUCACACAAACUUCAGAACACUCUGCAGGAGAUAACCCACCUACUUCGCCUCAAACUAACAUCUCUUUAUACCCUUCCACCAUCAUAAAUAUCACGUAGUCACUUAAUCUUCCUGAGUCUGAACUCAUAUCACAACGUAAAAUCUACUUUACUUCCCAACUAGAAAAUAUGAAAAGAUUCUUCAUACACCCAUAACUCGGGGCUAUACCUCAAAUCAAGAUGGAAAUCAAGCACCUAAUAAUUCUUUUGUCCUCUAGCAGACCCUUCUCAUCGCUUCCAAAUCAUAUGAAUACAUCUCGCAGUCAUACCAUACUCAUCACAUAGCCAUCCAGCCAUCACUUCUACCAAUAGUGACACUACCAAACAUAUAAGUUCAAAAACAUAUGCUCACACAAUUAGCACCUUGGUGCUCAUGCUGCAGGAAAAACCUGGCCUCAAAUCCUCUAGACUGGCCCAACAUCAACGCACAGAAAUUGCAUCUCGCCCCUUGAUCGGGGAAUCACAAGCCAUCGACGCACAUCUGAUACUGAGCGCUCAUGCGCACAUACAAACUCGUGGAAGGACUUCAAAGAGUUACAUUCAAAGCUGAAUCAAGGACGCACGAUAAGAAUUCAAGAAUGUGAAGUUUUUCCCAAAGGUUCUGCAGCCUCUCGAGGAUAAAUACAGACGUAUCAGUACUGAUCCGCGAGACUCUACUAAACCUGCCCAUGACUCGUGACACCUGUGUAACCUAGGCUCUGAUACAACCUUGUCAUGACCCAAAACCGACCCAGUCGUGAUGGCGCCUAUCGUGAAACUAGGCCAUCCGACACAACUCUCGAAUCAACCAUUAUUCAAUAACAGUUAUUUUAUACCAUUUAUUAAUCAAUAAUCUCAUGAUGAAAAUAUAAAAGAAUAGUGCAGAGUAAUUACACAAGCCUGAUAUCGGGGUGUCACUAGUUAUAAGCAUCUACUAAAAUCUAGCUACAACGAAAAGUCUGAAAAAUGUACUAAAUAUAGUCUAAUAAAAACAAGAGGGAGAAAAGUUGUGUUGCGAACGCCAGACAACUACCUUGCUAAAACUCCGAUGACUUUGCCUUUGAGCGAUCAACACCAGCUACCGGGUUUAGAAAUACCUGAAUCUGCACACAAAGUGCAUGCAGUAAUGUGAGUACUCCAACUCAGUAAAUAAUAAAAGUAAAUUAAGACUGAUCAGUAAGAAAUUACGUAAACCAUGUCAUAGCACCACAGUGAUUAUAGCAUAUACCCAAAACAUGAUACCAUUCAAAUCAUUUCGUUAAACUUCCAACUUUAGUAAAAUCCUUUGGAAAAUAUUUUUCUAACCUUUUCAAUAGAGGUUUAAUGAUAUAUAUAUAUAUAUAUAUAUAUAUAUAUAUAGUGAAAGUGAUGAAAAUCAUAAUCGGCCCCUCGGCAAAACAGAAAUUCAUAACCAUUUCAUAACUUAAAAGCUUCAGUUUAAAUGAAAGCUUUUUAAAGCAUUUGUUCAACAUUUUCAAUAGAGGCUCGGUCUAAAGAUGAGUGAAAGCAGUAAUUAAAUCAACAUAUUCUAUAGAAACUCACUUUAAGGAGGAGCGAAAAAUAGUAAGUUCAUAAACGGGCCCCUCAGGCAAAGUAUCACUCAUGUAUAUGUAUAUAUAUAGCCCCUCGAGCAAGCGUCUCAGUCACGCAUGACUCAACUCUUACCAAUUAGCGCUCAUACUCAGAACUCACACUCAAUAGAUACCAUAUAGUAACCGCUGCGGCGUGCAGCUCGAUCCAUAUAUAUAAUCGACUGCACUCACUAGGGGUGUGCAUACUCCGGAGGGGCUCCUACAGCCCAAGCGUUAUAUCGUUGCGACAUGCAUCCCCAUCCAACAUAUCACUGCGGCAUGUAGCCCGAUCCACACACACACACACACAUACAUAUUACUGUGGUGUGCAGCCCGAUCCAUAAAUAUAUAAUCCUCACAACCAGAUCCUCGACUUCUCUCAGUCAUUAACCUCACAAUCAGACCCUCGGUCUAUCUCAAUCAUGAACCUCACAAAUCACUCGGACCAUCAGAAAAACAGGGAACUUAGCCCAAGCAGUUUUCAGAUUUUAAGAUGUAAAGUGAUAAAACCAGAUUUAAACAGUAAACAGGUAAAACAUGACUAAGGAUAUGCUUUCAAAACAAAUAGAGUGAGGAAAAAUAGUAAAAAUGCCCCUAAGGGUCUCAACAGGUCAGCACAAGGCCCCAAACAUGGCAUAUAACCAAAAAUGUAAUAUCAAUCUCUAAAAUAUGGAAUAUCAUAAGAUUUCGAAUCAAAUACGCGACUUAACAAUCGUACGGGACGUACCAAGUCACAAUCCCCAAGGGUGCACGACUCUACGCUCGCAUCUAGCGUGUGCGUCACCUCAAAGUAGCACAACGAUAUGAAGUCUGGGGUUUCAUACCCUCAGGAUAACAUUUACAAUCAUUACUUACCUCUAUCCGGUCCACACUCUAGCCCGGGCUGCCUUUGCCUCUCAAAUUGACUUCCAUAUGCUUCAAAUCUAACCAAAAUCAGUAUAUUAUCAUCAAUAUACGCUAAAGAAACAAAGGCCAGGCGAAAAUAAUCAAAUUAACUCAAGAAUCCCGAAAUUGUUCAAACCCGACCCGUGGGCCCACAUCUAGGAACCCGACUACAAUCACAUCAAUAGAAUCCUCAUCCUCCCACGAGUCUAUACAUAUCAAGAACAUCAAAAUAGAACCUCAAAUCCCCACUCAAAGGUCUCUUAAUCUCAAGCCCUAAUUACCCUUUUUGCACUGAGUUUUCCCAAAUUUUCGCCACUAAUUAGGCCUUUAAUCACAUAUAAAAAAGUUAUGAAGUCAAAAAUCUUACCUCCACGAGAUUAUCCUUUGGUUUCCUCUUCGAUUAGCUCUCCAAAGCAUUCUCCCGAAUGAAAUAUGGUGAAAACCCCCUCAAAAUCGCGAAAGUAACCUUUUUAUACUUUCUAGCCCAAGCAUUUUGCACCUGCAGUACUUUUGCCACUUAUGCAGCCCUGUUUUUAUGGCUAUUCUAAUGCAUCUGCGAUUUUCACUAAAAUGACCAUUUCCCGCAUCUGCGGUUAAAAACUCGCACCUGCGCUACCACAAGUGCGCCUACUUCACCACUUCUGCAGUUCCUGAAGGACUUCUACUUGGCCGCAUCUGCGGCUCCCUUUUUGCUUCUACGAGACUGCACCUACGGUCACCUAGCUGCAGAUGCGGUUAUGACAGUAAUGGAACAUCUUCAGCAGCCAAAACUAUUACAUCUUGCAUUUUGUACGUUAAAAUUUCGAUUUUAGUUAACCGACGUAGACCCGAGGAUGAGAUCAUCUUGACGUUAAUGUACUUACACUAUUUAUAACAAGCGAUAAAUAAGUGUUAUGAAGGGUAAAGGGGUACACGAAUUAAAGAAAAGGAGUUUCGUUGAAAGUGGUCAAUUUGGAAUAAAAUAUGGGUCGAGCGGUAAUACCCGAUAAUUAUGAACUAGUANNNNNNNNNNNNNNNNNNNNNNNNNNNNNNNNNNNNNNNNNNNNNNNNNNNNNNNNNNNNNNNNNNNNNNNNNNNNNNNNNNNNNNNNNNNNNNNNNNNNNNNNNNNNNNNNNNNNNNNNNNNNNNNNNNNNNNNNNNNNNNNNNNNNNNNNNNNNNNNNNNNNNNNNNNNNNNNNNNNNNNNNNNNNNNNNNNNNNNNNNNNNNNNNNNNNNNNNNNNNNNNNNNNNNNNNNNNNNNNNNNNNNNNNNNNNNNNNNNNNNNNNNNNNNNNNNNNNNNNNNNNNNNNNNNNNNNNNNNNNNNNNNNNNNNNNNNNNNNNNNNNNNNNNNNNNNNNNNNNNNNNNNNNNNNNNNNNNNNNNNNNNNNNNNNNNNNNNNNNNNNNNNNNNNNNNNNNNNNNNNNNNNNNNNNNNNNNNNNNNNNNNNNNNNNNNNNNNNNNNNNNNNNNNNNNNNNNNNNNNNNNNNNNNNNNNNNNNNNNNNNNNNNNNNNNNNNNNNNNNNNNNNNNNNNNNNNNNNNNNNNNNNNNNNNNNNNNNNNNNNNNNNNNNNNNNNNNNNNNNNNNNNNNNNNNNNNNNNNNNNNNNNNNNNNNNNNNNNNNNNNNNNNNNNNNNNNNNNNNNNNNNNNNNNNNNNNNNNNNNNNNNNNNNNNNNNNNNNNNNNNNNNNNNNNNNNNNNNNNNNNNNNNNNNNNNNNNNNNNNNNNNNNNNNNNNNNNNNNNNNNNNNNNNNNNNNNNNNNNNNNNNNNNNNNNNNNNNNNNNNNNNNNNNNNNNNNNNNNNNNNNNNNNNNNNNNNNNNNNNNNNNNNNNNNNNNNNNNNNNNNNNNNNNNNNNNNNNNNNNNNNNNNNNNNNNNNNNNNNNNNNNNNNNNNNNNNNNNNNNNNNNNNNNNNNNNNNNNNNNNNNNNNNNNNNNNNNNNNNNNNNNNNNNNNNNNNNNNNNNNNNNNNNNNNNNNNNNNNNNNNNNNNNNNNNNNNNNNNNNNNNNNNNNNNNNNNNNNNNNNNNNNNNNNNNNNNNNNNNNNNNNNNNNNNNNNNNNNNNNNNNNNNNNNNNNNNNNNNNNNNNNNNNNNNNNNNNNNNNNNNNNNNNNNNNNNNNNNNNNNNNNNNNNNNNNNNNNNNNNNNNNNNNNNNNNNNNNNNNNNNNNNNNNNNNNNNNNNNNNNNNNNNNNNNNNNNNNNNNNNNNNNNNNNNNNNNNNNNNNNNNNNNNNNNNNNNNNNNNNNNNNNNNNNNNNNNNNNNNNNNNNNNNNNNNNNNNNNNNNNNNNNNNNNNNNNNNNNNNNNNNNNNNNNNNNNNNNNNNNNNNNNNNNNNNNNNNNNNNNNNNNNNNNNNNNNNNNNNNNNNNNNNNNNNNNNNNNNNNNNNNNNNNNNNNNNNNNNNNNNNNNNNNNNNNNNNNNNNNNNNNNNNNNNNNNNNNNNNNNNNNNNNNNNNNNNNNNNNNNNNNNNNNNNNNNNNNNNNNNNNNNNNNNNNNNNNNNNNNNNNNNNNNNNNNNNNNNNNNNNNNNNNNNNNNNNNNNNNNNNNNNNNNNNNNNNNNNNNNNNNNNNNNNNNNNNNNNNNNNNNNNNNNNNNNNNNNNNNNNNNNNNNNNNNNNNNNNNNNNNNNNNNNNNNNNNNNNNNNNNNNNNNNNNNNNNNNNNNNNNNNNNNNNNNNNNNNNNNNNNNNNNNNNNNNNNNNNNNNNNNNNNNNNNNNNNNNNNNNNNNNNNNNNNNNNNNNNNNNNNNNNNNNNNNNNNNNNNNNNNNNNNNNNNNNNNNNNNNNNNNNNNNNNNNNNNNNNNNNNNNNNNNNNNNNNNNNNNNNNNNNNNNNNNNNNNNNNNNNNNNNNNNNNNNNNNNNNNNNNNNNNNNNNNNNNNNNNNNNNNNNNNNNNNNNNNNNNNNNNNNNNNNNNNNNNNNNNNNNNCUUGAUCAGCGAGAGUUGGCGUGCUCCACUUGAUCCGGAGCUGCUUUUGUUUUGGUACGAAUAUAUACAUAUAUACAUAUAUAUAUGUAUAUAUAUAUAUAUAUAGGUAUGACGUGGCUCAAUCCCGUCUUUGUACAGUUAUGUUUUUAUUAAAUGUCUGUAGACAGUAUGUCUAGUUGGGUUGUAUGUGGCCUUGUCGACUUUUAGUUUUGGAUGUAUAAUUGUCUAUAGCAGCCUUGCCGGCUCGCCCACUAUAUUCUGCACGUAUACGUACAUAUGCCUUGAUGGUAGGUUUCUUUCACGUAUGUUAUUUUCGUAAUGCAGCAGAUGUUAUACAAGUUCAUAUCUUUGACGCAUGCUUAGGGGUGUUUGACAGAUAGGACUCAGGCACCUGUCGCGGCCCAUCGGUUUGGGUCGUGACAAAAGUGGUAUCAAAGCAGUUCUGUCCUAGGAUUGUCUACAGACCAUGUCUAGUAGAGUCUUGUUUAUGGGUGUGUCUUACACCACACUUAUAAACAGGAAGCUACAGGACAUAUAGGAUGUUAUCUUUUAUUUUUAUCUUAAAUCAUGCAAUACAAGAAUUCAUGUUCCUAAUGAUACGUUAUGUUUUCAACAAUGCCUCCAAAGAGUACGACCGCUUAGAAUGGAAUGUCCGUGGCUGGUGAGACUACUAGUUGAGCGCCACGAGUUACCAGGGCUUGAGGAGAACCUCAUGGAGAGGUUCCAUCUCAGACUUCACAUAUCCCGCCUUUUCCAAAAGAGCUACGAAGGGCACCGGCUCUAGCGUCUGCCUCUGUACAUUCAGCACCUCAGCCGGAUGCGCUGGGUCAGGAGAUGAGAGAUGUUGUUCAGUUAUUGACCCAAUUAGUUGCCGCACAGGCUCGGCGUCAGGAAUCAAGUAUUGGUCACACAGAUAGGUUCGUAAGUGAGAGGGUUCGUGACUUUAUUAAUUUAGACCCUCCGGUAUUCACUGGAGCAAACCCAAAUGAGGACCCUCAGGUAUUUAUUGAUAUAGUGAAGAGGACGUUACAGGUAAUGAAGGCCACUGCGACUGAGUUAGUUGAGCUAGCUUCCUGUAGACUCCGAGAUGUUGCAGUUAAUUGGUACGAGUCUUGGGAAUAGUCCAUAGGUGAGAAUGCCCCUCCAGCGGUAUGGCAAGAGUUUACAGAAGCUUUUCUUCGUCAUUAUCUUCCACCAGAGCUUAAGCGAGCCAGAGUUGAUAGGUUCUUGACCCUUCAGUAGGGAAACAUGAGUGUUUGGGAGUACAAUAUUCAGAUUGAUUCGUUGGCUAGGUAUGCUCCCACUAUUGUAUCUAAGAUGGAGGAUCGGGUUCACCGGUUCAUGAUAGGAUUAGAGCCUCACUUGCUUAACGAUUGUAUGUCGGUUUCACUUCAGCCAGACAUGGAUAUUUCUCAUAUUCAGGCAUAUGCUCAGGGUGUAGAGGAGCAUAAACAGAAACAGAGGGCUGAUCGUGAGCAUGAUAGGGCCCAGAAUAAGAGAGCGAGGUCUUCGGGUCCUUCUGGUGAGUUUUGAGGUUGUUAGAGGCAGCAUCAUUCGAGAUAUCCAUCCCAGCCCUCAGCUUGCGCGCCGCCUCAGUUUGGCAGUAAGAGAUUUGAUCAUUCUACAUAUUCAGGGCCUGGUCAGAAUUUUAGGGCUUCAGGUUCUCAGUAUAGGGGUGAGUUAAAUCAGAUGAGGUCACCCUUUCCACGAACUACUCAAUAUGGUAAGCAGUAUACCAGGCAGUGCCGUAUGUGAUUAGGUAUUUGUUAUACUUGUGGUUAUCCGGGCCACGUAAGAAGGAUUGUCCGAUGAGAGGUGAUGCAAGCAUAGCUCACUAGUGGGAUCUGUAGCUGGAUCGUCAUCAUCAGUACGCCCCCUUGGGCAAGGUCCCCAAGCACCAAUAAGUCAUGGUAGAGGCAGAGGCAGAGCAUCUAGCUCGAGCAGUCCUCAAAACCGCAUUUAUGCGUUGGCAGGAGGACAUGACCAAGAGUCAUCGCCUGAUGUUGUUAUAGGUAUAUUAUCAGUAUCCUCCUAUGAUGUAUAUGCACUAAUUGAUCCAGGUUCCACCUUAUCAUAUGUUACUCCGUUGGUUGCUAGUAAGUUUGAAAUAAAACCUGAAUUGGUUAAACCUUUUGAGGUGUCUACACCUAUUGGGGACUCGGUGAUAUCUAAGUAGUUAUAUAGGGGUUUUAUAAUAAUAGUUCAUGGUCGACCUACCAUAGCAGACUUAAUUAAGUUAGAUAUGGUAGAAUUUAAUGUUAUAAUGGGUAUGGAUUGGUUGGCUUCUUGUUAUGCCAACGUUGAUUAUAGAUCAAAGAUUGUCCGAUUUCAAUUUCCAGGGGAGCCUGUUUUGGAAUGGAAAGGUAACACGACAUUGCUCAAAGGUAGAUUUAUUUCCUAUAUCAAGGAAAGGAAGAUGAUCAGAAAGGGUUGUAUUUAUCACUUAGUUCAGGUUCAGGAUGUGGAAGUAGAGUCACCAACCAUUCAGUCCAUCCAUGUGGUAAUGAGUUUCCAGAUAUCUUCCCUAAUGAACUUUCGAGUCUCCCGCCAUAGUCAGAAAUUGAGUUUUCUAUUGACCUACUACCAGAUACUCACCCAAUAUCUAUUCGUCCUUAUUGAAUGGCCCCCACAGAGCUGAAAGAGUUGAAAGAACAACUAAAUGACUUGCUUGAAAAAGGUUUUAUUAGACCUAGCACGUCACUAUGGGGAGCACAUGUGUUGUUUGUAAGGAAGAAAGAUGGUUCCAUACGAAUGUGUAUUGAUUAUAGGCAACUGAAUAAGGUGACGAUCAAGAAUAAGUGCCCACUCCCGAGGAUUAAUGACUUAUUUGAUCGGUUGCAAGGUGCCAAGUGCAUUUCAAAGAUAGACUUGAGGUCCGUGUACCAUCAGGUAAGGGUUAAGGAUGAAGAUAUUCCGAAGACAGCAUUCAAGACUAGAUAUGGGCACUUUGAGUUUUGGGUUAUGUCGUUCGGUCUGACCAAUGCCCCAACCGUAUUCAUGGAUUUGAUGAACCGUGUGUUUAGGCCUUUAUUAGUUCUGUUUGUAAUCGUAUUUAUUGACGAUAUAUUGGUAUAUUCUCGUUUAGAGGAUAAGCAUGUUAGUCAUCUGCGUACUGUGCUCAUAGUUCUACAAAAAAUUAAGUUGUAUGCAAAAUUUUCUAAGUGUGAAUUUUGGUUGAACUCUAUAACUUUCUUUGGGCAUAUCAUUUCGGGUGAAGGCAUCCGGACACAAAAGAUUGGGGCAGUAAAGAUCGAUAGAGGUUCGUAGAUUUCUUAGUUUGACAGGUUAUUACAGGAGAUUUGUGAAAGGAUUUUCUUCCCUUUCAGCACCUUUAACAAAGUUGACUCAGAAGGGAGCAAAGUUUCAAUGAACUGAUGCUUGUGAACGGAGUUUCCAGGCAUUAAUGGAUAAGUUAACUUUAGCACCGAUUCUAACACUCCCAGAAGAGACCGAUGGUUAUGUUAUAUAUUGCGACGCUUCAGGCAUUGGAUUGGGUUGUGUGCUGAUGCAACAUGGUAAGGUUGUGGCUUAUGCUUCUACACAACUAAGAAAGCACGAAAAUAACUACUCAACCCACGAUUUAGAGUUAGCUACAGUGAUUCAUGCACUAAAGAUGUAGAGACACUACUUGUAUGACAUUUAUGUUGAUAUCUAUACGGAUCAUAAAAGCCUCCAGUACAUCUUCAAGCAAAAGGAAUUGAAUCUUCGUCAAAGGAGAUGGUUGGAGCUACUUAAAGACUAUUAUAUUGAUAUUUUAUACCAUCCAGGGAAGGAGAACGUAGUUGUCGAUGCUCUCAGCCGUAGAUCUAUGGGUAGCCUGUUGAAUUUGCAGCUAGAAAAAAGGGGAAAAGCCCAUGAGGUUCAUCAGCUAGCUAAUCUUGGAGUUUGGUUACUGGACUCAGGUGACAUUGAAAUUACUCUUCAGGAUACGACAACAUCCUCUUUAGUAACUGAAGUAAAGGAAUGCUUGUACAGAGAUCCUGUUUUAGUUCAUUAUAGGGAUACCAUCCUUUAGAAGGAUAAGACACCGUUUGAAAUUAUAGAAGAUGGGGUCCUCAGAUAUCUAGGACGAUUAUGUAUAACUAAUGUUGCUGGGCUGCAUCGACAGGUUACCGAAGAAACUCACUAUUCCCGUUAUUCUAUCCAUCCAGGAGAGACAAAGAUGUAUCAUGACAUCAGGGAAAUAUAUUGGUGGGACGGAAUGAAAAAUGAUAUAUAGUAGAAUUUGUUGCUCAGUGCCCUAACUGUCAGCAGGUUAAGAUUGAGCAUCAAAAACCUAGUAGAUUAUUGCAGGCUAUGGAGAUUCUGACUUGGAAAUGGGAAAUAAUCAAUAUAGACUUCAUCGUAGGCUUACCUCGUACCCAGUAUAAGUUUGAUUCAAUAUGGGUGAUUUUCGAUAGGCUCAUAAAGUUAGCCCAUUUUCUGCCCGUUAGAACUACAUAUUCCUCUAAAGAUUAUGCAAGGUUUUCUAUCAAGGAGAUAGUAUGACUGCAUGGUGUCCCUGUAUCUAUUAUCUCGGGUAGAGGAGCUCAAUUUACAGCUAACUUCUAGAGGUCCUUCCAAAAGGGAUUGGGGACUCAAGUAAGUCUUAGUACAACAUUUCAUCCCCAGACAAACGGACAGGCUGAGUAUACUAUUCAAACACUAGAGGAUAUGUUACGAGCUUGUGUAAUAGACUUCAAAGGUAGCUGGGAUGAUCAUCUGCCGCUUAUUGAGUUUGCAUAUAAUAAUAGCUACCAUUCCAACAUUCAGAUGGCUCCAUACAAAGCUCUUUACAGAUGAAAGUGUAGGUCGCCUAUAGGGUGGUUAGAUGUUGGACAAUCUGGACUACACGGGCCAGACCUGGUUCAGCAAGUCAUAGAAAAAGUAAAGCUUAUCCGGGAUCGACUAUUGACAGCUCAGAGUCGUUAGAAGUCAUAUUUUGACAUGUGACGUCGAGAUUUAGUGUUUGGGGUUGAUGACUGGGUAUUCUUAAAGGUAUUGCCUAUGAAGUGUGUGAUGAGAUUUUGCAAGAAAGGCAAACUUAGUCCACGUUCUAUUGGAACUUAUAGGAUAAUUCAGAGAGUGGGCCGAGUAGCUUAUGAGUUAGAAUUGCCCUGGGAAUUGGAGUCUGUUCAUCUAGUUUUUCACGUAUCUAUGUUACGAAAGUGCAUUGGAAAUCCUACCCGAGUGGUGCCCACGAAAGAUGUACAGAUUAAAGAGGACUUGUCAUACGAGGAACUUUCGGUUUCCAUUCUAGAUUGACAAAUACGUAAGUUGCGGAAUAAGGAGGUAGCCUCCGUGAAAUUACUUUGGAGAAAUAACAAUGUGGAAGAAAUGACUUGGGAGGCCGAGGAAAACAUGAAGUCUGGAUAUCCCUACCUAUUUCCUCCUCCAGAGAAGGGUCUGACUGAGAAGUCAUAAUCAUAAGGUACGUGUAUAAAUUUUUAUGUUGGUUAUUGUCGUUGGUCGUGUGAGGCCAUGGUUGUUAUUCAUAAUUGUUGCACUGUAUGGCGUUGUGUUAUUAAGCUUCUACGAGGAGAAUUUGUAGUGGUGUUGUUACAAAGGCGACCCUGCCAAAGUUAUGCAGGUUACGGGGAGUUGAACAUUUAGGACGAAUGUUUCUAAGGGGUGAAGGAUGUUACAUCUCACGUUUUUGUACGUUAAAAUUUCGUUUUAGUUAACCGACGUAGACACGAGGAUGAGAUCAUCUUGACGUUAACGUACUUAUGUUAUUUAUAACAAGAGAUAAAUAAGUGUUAUAAAGGAUGAGGGGGUACACGGAUUAAAGAAAACGAGUUUCGUUGAAAGUGGUCAAUUUGGAAUAAAAUACGGGUCGAGUGUUAAUACCCGAUAAUUAUGAACUAGUAUCAUGCAAGGUACAAUAUGACCAUGGUAGUAUAAUAUAUAAAGUAUAUAUGAAGUAUUUUAAAAUAAAUAAAUAGAAUUUCAAGUAAUUUGUGAUAAUUUUUAAAUUAUGCGGGUAAUUGAUUAAUUAUCGGGUAACAGGACAUUACCCAGUUAACUAAUAAGUGGAUAAAAAAAUUAUUAAACUAACUUUGUGCGGUGAAAUCUGGGGGACAGAUUUCCCCUUGACAUAAUGCUUCGAAGAGUGACCCCGGAAACACGGUAUCUCGGGUCAGUCGCUUCUCUCAAAACCUGUCGAUGCCCUGCCAAGAAUAACAUUGGCUGAAGCCCCGAUGAAUGCAUGUAUCCCCCCGAGGAAUGCACCCGGGGUCGAUCAAAUCUACUCAAGCGGUUCGAAGUCAGCCCACAUGCCGCCGUAAAGCUAACAGGUUGUCACAUCUCAUUCCCUUUUGUUAUACUACAUAUCUUAUACUUAGUUUGGGCGUCCCCUUCCUAUAAAAUGGGGGUCACCAACAUCUUGUGAAGCAUCUUCAAUCAUCCCACUCAAGUGCAAUAAUAUCUUCUCUCUUCCUCUCUUCUCUAAUUUCCUUAUUCCCCUUGGCUCAAAGCCAUUUAUCUUCGGUUAUUCUUCUUGUUUAUCACUUGGUACUGGCUCGAGGCCGUCUUCAUAUUCAUUGCCUCUUAACUUGUUCUUCAUUAUAUAACUUAAUAUCGGCCGAAAGAGCCUUGUCUAAUUAUAUCUUUAACUGUUAUCCCAUCCCCGGCUAUCCCCGAUAGUUUGAGAUCGAUACUAACGCUGAACCAGAGGUCCCAUCGACCAUCUCUGCAUCCAGGCAACAACCCCUAUCUUUGGUUUGGUUACUGCCUCUUUUUACCCCGCAUUUCAUUGUUAAACUUAGCAUUCUUAGCAUUAACUACUUUUACAACUAGCUCGAGAAUAGAUCACGUAUUAUUAGAAUCCCAUUUACAAAUUUAAUUGUUGUUACCAUUUUCACGAUAAACAGUUUGGCGCCCAUCGUGGGGCUAAAAAUAAUAGUGAUUAUUUUUUUGCUAGUUUCUUCACACAAACGCGCAUUAUCUUUCACACUUUUUCUUGCCCAAAAUCUUUUGAUUUCAGGUUAAUGUUCAGCUCGGUAAGCGAAAUCGAGAACGACUACCCCGAAAACCACGGCAAAAACAGUAUGGCUGCUCCAGAGGUUGGCGCGAUACUGCAGGACCCCGAUAACGCAUUUGGAUUGAUUCAAGCGGACGCGGGCUUGCAAGGCGCAUAACAGGUCGACGAAGCCUUACGUACCGAUGACAGCAUACUGCGCAUUGACUGACAUGAAGCUCAAAAAACCCCGGCCCGGGUAGAACAUGAAGUUAAUCUUCAGGUUAUUUUUGAAAUGUUACAGGCACGACAGUUGGAUAUCGCUCAGCUGCAAAGUCUCCCGGAGACUCCCAACGUAGUAGCAUCGGAGACACCUCCUUACGCCGAGCUGGUACCCGAGAGAUCAAGUAACGACGGAUCGGUAACCGACCCUACCGUAGUGAGGAUGCUUGGGAAUCUAUUUGAAAGGAUCGAAUCAGGUUCGUGGAAGCUCUUGCAGCAAUCGUCUCCCAAGGAAAUGGUUGCGAAACUUGCUUCACAAAAAUCAAGAACGCCGAAACCCCCUAGGUGCGACAAGACCUCAGAUCCUUACGGCGCACCACCACUCACGCGAGCUCAUUCAAAGGCAGCGACCUCCAAGAUGAUGAGUUCGAGCCUAUCUCGUUGAGGAAGUUCGAAGAAACUCUCUCGAAAGAAACCAUGACGCUGCACCACCUCCUGGCACCUGACCUCACAAUCGCUUACAUACCAGCGCGGUCCUCCGCAGAAGCACGCGUUGACGCCAUCAAAGCAAUACCGAGAGGGACCUAUACACCUGAGGCCAAACGAAGAAGAAAUAAAUAUCGCGGGAAGCCGCACCCCAUUACCUAAUAGGACGAAUGGGAUCGCUGCCGGUUUCGGAUGAUCGGGCAACACAGGCCUUCACCCGAGGCUUGAACGAAGCAUGCCCGAUGACUCCAGGACAUUUCAAGCGAAGCCUGAUCAGAUACCCAGCCGAAGUCUGGUUGUAUGCCCACACUCGGCACCAGCCAUGAAUCGGGGCCAUGGACAACCGUCUGGGAACCUCCUCAGGUUUGGUAUAUCCAAGUAGACUCCCACCAAAGAAGCUAAUGCCAAACGGAUGGAGGUAUCAUCCAUGUGCUGCGAAUGGAAGGCACGACUCAAGAUGCAACCUACCUCACAACAAUAGGGAAAUAGCCCGAGGACAACACCCUCGAAGAACCUCUAAUGGAACCAUAUUCAACAAGGCACAGUUGGCACGGAAACCCUGCCCAGCCGAGUACGAUUUCAGCAUUGGUAUACCAAACAUCGAGAUCACCAUAAGCGAAAUCGAGAACGCUAGGCGGCUUAGACCUAUUCGACCAAGACCCCUUCAAGAGAACCAUGGCCCGAUGCAGGAACCGCAGGGUGCGCGCGGUCACCGGCUCAAAUGAACGACAAUUGUGCUAUUCAAUAGAGAUCGCCACCAAGUGUGAUCGAGCGGUCAGGCUCAGAUCCAGCUCCAAGGGAAGAAGGAGAUCGGGGAAAAUGAAGUUGACGAGCCACGGCUUAUUGCCACGACAGUAAAGGGGCGGCGACACCCUUCAAAGAUCCAUAAAAUGCAGAGUGAAAGGGCUCAUCGCCGGGGAAAGACGGGUCCAUGGAAUAUACCCAAAGGACACCCUUGCAUCCAAGGAAAGGGACGUCGAGACUUUGCCUCGGCCUCGUAUUAAUGCGAUUGGUAACCCCCUCCCUCAUUUAACCUAUUUCAAAUAAAACAUGUAUUCAUAAGUGCAGAUGGUUCGAUCCAUUAUAUCGACGAUGACAGGCCAAAGCCAAUGGGAUAGUUCGGACUAACGAACCAAAUCACUCCCACACCUCGAAUCCUUAAUGGCUUCCAGACGCCGAUUUCCACAACAUUUAGGAAGGCCGCUCUCUCUAUACAACCCACCUGAGCUCGAGCUGGAAUGUCGAGCCUGCGAGACACGAACGUUUUAUUCAAAUGACAAUGGGCACACUGCCCGGAGGAGACUUCGACCAUACUCCGCCAAAGGGAUAAAACUCCAUGACAGAGUUGGGACUAAAGUCUUCGACAAGGAGCUACACGCGACGAGAGUAAAUCCCUCACCAUAUGACCCAUCACCGGCAUCAAUACCUCCGCCCUCGAAGGGAUCAAAGGGUUAGCAGAACCAUAUCUUCAGCCAAGCCUGGUUGAACACAGCAGAAGGAUGUAUUAAGGUCUCGCGCCUUGAAACGGAAGAAACAUACCAGUCCUCGAAACGUCGCCUACACAUCCCGCAGCAGGGAGGAACUACUUUGCCCCCUUGUUGUUGUUUUUAUUUUGCUAACCUAUAUGCAGGCAGGCAGCCGAGGCAUUCAUAAGUUUUAACUCCACUCGGAGAUCCGAGGCCUCUACGAAGCCCACCGUGCUCUCUUCCCUCGUCCGGACUUCCAACCUAACGAGGGUCCUGCCAGCAUGAUUAUUAGCAGAGAAGCAUACCCCCAGAAAAGGAUCCGAUGAAAUUGCGGGCCUUUUUUCUACAGUCAGACGACAUACGAUGGCCUUCUCUUAAGGACACCGUCCCCUCGGAAGGGCCAGUAAAUGGCAGGCUAAGUUUCAAAAUGGAAUCAUGUAAACGGAUCAGAUGAUUAGAGGAGCCGCACCUAUACGGUCCAAGCUCACAGCAACGAGACGACAUGUAUUUACAACCUAUAUUUACGCCAAGCAAUAAAGAAUAUCUUUUCGGCAUUUUAUACUUCGAAAAAGGCUAUUUCGGCAUAUUCGUAGUAAAAGCCUCUCCACUGAAUACGCCCCGAGAUACUCGGAGACUUAAACGGUUCAACGCCCACACAGCUCCAAGGUCGAAAUCCCUAGCUCACAAAGCCCUCACAAUGCAACUCUGAGUUUAUAAGAAGCGGUCUUCAAACUUAAACAAAUUCGAUGACUCGGAGACUGUCACCAAUCGCCGAGCACUGGAAAAUCCAAAACUGUAAGACCCCUAGCGGGCAGACUCGGCAUAACCAGAUCUAUUCUACAUCAAACAAACUGUAAGAACUCAAUAGGCAUAACAAACUGUAAGACCCCAAUAGGUAUGACAAGCUGUACGACCUCAAUAGGCAUGACAAACUGUAAGACCUCAACAGGCAUGAAAACCCCAAAGUUUAGGCUAUACAUCGCAUUUGUAAGAAUCUUUUAAUGGCAUACCCUUGGUGUAGACACCUAAACAUCGGUUGGGAUAAAAAAUGGAUACGGCCAAACGUACAUGACUACAGUCAAAAUGGCUGAUACAGCCAAAGUAACGCGACUCGUGGACGCCCGACUGUCCCUAAAAAUCGCAGGCCACUACUUCGAAUAUACUUCGGAAAGAACUAGUUAAAACAAGCUUCCCUCAACAGGAAAAAACGAGCUCCGACCAUGUCGGCUCCAAAUCGCAAGAGUGUCAAUCUACUCGACCUACGAGCUAUGAACCUUACGAGGUGCUUGAAACAUCGUUGACAAAGAAUUGAAAUCGAGGUUCUUCUGGAACCGACGACGGGUCAAGCAAAAAUAUUCUAAAAGACCUUAACGAGCGGAAACAAAGCCUAAAAUGAAAGCUCAUGGGCAAAAACAACGUAAGAGCCAUUGUUGCCAGCUAAGCAAGACUACGGGCCUCAUAUUGAAAGGUCUCUACGACCAAACAACGUAAGAGCCAUUAUCGCCAGCUAAAUUUUUUUUUGACAACUUGAGGAUUAAAAUGAGCUCGAAUCAUAACCCAAUUCGGAGACCGGAUCCAAAACAGUUAACUAUGCAAGCCUCCGGGCCACAUACUGAAAUAUCUCAAUAGCCAAAUGACAUAAGUGCCACUAUUGUCGGUCGGAAAAUCAAGGAAAUUUAAGGGUCGAUUACAACUCGAAUUGUAACGUGACUCGGAGACUGGACCCGAAAACAGCAAUAUGCCCAAGGGCACGACAUAAGAACCACUAUCAUCGACCGGCAAAUCAAGUAAAUUUAAGGGUCGAUUACAGCUCAAAUCGCAACGCGACUCGGAGACUGGACCCGAAAACUGCAAUAUGCCUAAAGGCAUGGCAUAAGUGUCACUAUCACAGACCGAGUAAACCUCUGGUCCACACGCCCGUAAGGUCACUUCGACCCAGAGCACAAAGGGCCAUCAUCAUCCGCCCAUGCGGGUAGGAAAGAGCUUGAGGGUCAAUUGAAGCUCGAGUCACAAUGCGGCUCAAAGACUAGACCCAAAACAGUUGGAGCGCCAAAUUCCCAAGGGAAAGAGAUAAAAACGAUUGCUUCCUACCUGCACGGGCACAAAGAAUUCGAGGACAAGAAGGCUCGAGCCGGAGAUCGACUCGGAGACUAAGCCAAAACAGCUGGGCCAAGCACGGAGGCCCCAGCACCUGCUCGCGCAAAGGAUCGUACUUAAGAGACCCCAGGUCUAUCCAAUCCGUUCUAAACCUAUGAGGACCUCGCCAAACACCAAGAAAUAAAGCUUCAAGUUUCUUCUUAUAUAAUUACAUGCGCGAAAAAAGCGCAUUCUCCAUCUACAGGCAUGCCCUACAUAUAUUAGAGACAAAGCGACAAAAUGGCAAAGUCCAAAGCGACAAAAUGGCAAAGUUUAAAGCGACAAAAUGGCAAUGUCUAGAGCGAAAAAAUGGUAAAGUUUACACUCUACGCUAAAGGGCUAUAGCUUGUCGAGUUCGCCCUCUGCAACUUCAGCAAGAAGUGACCAAGCGUCACGAUUACUCCCCCUUACUCGAGCCAAUUCCUCAGAGAAAACGGAUCCCCUUGCACUGAACUCCUCGAGUGCUUCUCUUCGGGAUCUUCAACGAAUAUAUUCCUCGAUCACCUUCUCUCGGUUGAGGGUUUGCUUCAGCUCAGCUUAGGCAUCAGCAACACCCAUCAUAUGAAUCGCCAUCUCCUGAUCAGCCUUGGUUCGGCUUAGUGCCACUUCAGCCCAAGCAUCAAUUAUCUUAGCUUUAAAACUUUGGAAGAUCAUAUUUGAAGUUUCCCAAUCAUACCAGGUCGAACUUUAGCGCUGCCAAGAGGAAUUGGACCUCGAAGGUAGAGACCUUGGCCGAGGCAUUCGUCCCCUCUGAAGCUUAAGCCUGCACCUGAGCCCUUAGCUCCCCACAAACAACUCUAACGCGGUUGACGUCGCCCUUAAGACUUAAAGUAAGAAAGGGGAGAAGUGUGUACUACAAGAAGUCACCUACUCCACCAAAUAGCUCUCGUAGUUUGGGCUCCGAUACGCCUCAUAUCGCCAAUACUGCUGCUCGUCUUCCUUCUCUUCGCUAAGGAGCCUAGGGACUCGCCCUCAUCUAGAAUAUUUUGAGGCUUGGCCUCUUGACAAAGCAUCUCGGACCUAAGCCCGUCACAGGACCUCACAAGGAAGGUCUGGUAGAGGGAGAAGAACUCGGAAUACCAUUCUCGAGAACCAGGACUCCACCAAUUAUCUCCAUGCGAUUUGGAGAACCCGACGGCCUGAGCCUAUCAGAUCAACUUAGGCUCGAUCCAAAGUAUAACAACAGGCUCAGAAAUAAGCCAUACCAAUCAACAGAAGAUUGGGAAAAACGCUCGCGUCCGAGCCAAGCAUCGACAGCUAACAAUGGAGGAAGACGUCCAAGGGCCUCGAAGGGCAUGAGAACAUACAAAAGCAACGCAAGAAUUGAAAGCAAGAGUCAAAAAAGGUAUAUUAAUACUCAUAAAGAUCCAUAAACAACGGCCCUCAAGGGGUCCUUACAUAUGGUUACAGAAGCCCGGAAGGGGAUCAUGACACAUAAAAGGAAAUCCAAAGAUAUGCAUACAGCAAAAGCCUAAGAGUCUAGCCUACUUUUUAUGUGGCAUCUCUGUCGUAAUCCCCUCAGGCAUAUGACCUCAAAGGUAAUAUCUUCCAAGUCCGAGGCCCUCGAGGACCUCAUCUCGAUUCCUUAGAAUGGCAUCUUCAAAAGGAAGAGAGAUGAGGGAAGGAGAUGAGAAUCGGCUGGGUGAAAAAUCUGGCUGUCAUGAACCCCACCAGUAUCAAUCCCACCAAGCCACUUCUUGAGAUGUUGCCUCAGCCCACGAGGCAAUAGCCAGCGUGUACCGCCGCCACACCCCCAGGAAUCCAAAAGGGGUAUAACCCGCCGAGCCAAGGGAGGAGGGUGAGUAGCGGUGUAUAAUCCGAGCUCCCUCUUGAGCAGCGGUGCAUAGUCCAAAAUUACCCCCCAGGGUCGGAAGGAAUCGGCCAUUUGCCUCAUCAACCCGAGUCGACAGCAAUAGCAACAACAGCAAUAUCACGGCGGUGCAACUCCAUCCAAACGAAAAGAGACCAAGAAAGGAGUCAAGGCGUAUAUGGCAUAAAAUCUUGAAGCCUCACGCCUCAAACACGGCAAGAUGAUAGAAAUGCAAGACAGCAGAAAAGGAAGAAGAGAUAAGAAUCGAAGGGAGUUUGAAUAAAAAAGCCAGCCACAAGGAGACCCAUUUUAAGGGGAGGCAAAGCAACCGACAACUUCAUUACCGCCCUCGAAAAACGUAAUGGCAGGUGUACUCAAUGUGUUCAUAGAAGUUCAACCCAUAGCAACGAUACGAUUCCAAAGAGCGAAGGGUCAUAACUUUUCAGGUGAUCCUGAAGAAGCGAAAAGGCGAAGCACCUCGAUACUUGUCAAAGGAGAGCAGCAUCAUCAGCACGACACCGCUACAAAAGAUAGAGAAAUAAUAUGUCGAUACCGUUUCUUAUCACUUCCCUCUAAAAAAUGUGGAGACUAUCUGUGUGCGGUGAAAUCCGGGGGACCGACUUCCCCUUGACCUAAUGCUUUGAAGAGUGACCCAAAAACUUGGGAUCUUGGGUCAGUCGCUUCCCUCGAAACCUGUUGAUGCCCUGCCAAGAAUAACAUCGGCUGAAGCCCUGACGAACGCAGGAAUCUCCCCGAGGAAUGCACCCGGGGUCGAUUAAAUCUACUCAAGCAAUUCGACGUUAGCCCACAUGCGACGUAAAGCUAACAUGCUAUCACAUCUCAUUCUCUUUUGUCAUACUACACAUUUGUACUUAGUUUGGGCGUCCCAUUCCUAUAAAAGGUUGGUCACCAACAUCUUGUAAAGCAGCACCAAUCAUCCUACUCAAGGGCAAUAAUAUCUUCUCUCUUCCUCUCUUCUCUAAUUUUCUUAUUCCCCUUGGCUCAAAGCCAUUUAUCUUCGGUCACUCCUCUUGUUUAUCACUGGGUACUGGCUCGAGGCCGUCUCCAUAUUCAUCGCCUCUUAACUUGUUCUUCAUUAUGUAACUUAAUAUCGGCCGAAAGAGCCUUGUCUAAUUAUAUCUUUAACUAUUAUCCCAUCCCCGACUAUCCUCUACAGUUAGAGAUCGAUACUAAUGUUGACCCCGAGGUCCCAUCGACCAUCUCUGCAUCCGGGCAAUAGCCCCCAUCUUUGGUUUGGUUACUACCUCUUUUUACCCCGUAUUUCAUUGUUAAACUUAGCAUUCUUAGCAUUAACUGCUUUAACAACUAGCUCGAGAAUAGAUCACGUAUUUUUAUAAUCCCUUUUACAAAUUUAAUUAUUGUUACCAUUUUUACGGUAAACACUAACCCCUCCCCCCAACGUGGCAAGAAGCCACAAAGCUUAGAAGUGACUAAGUAGUCACUUUGCCAAAUGGCUAAUAUCUAGUAACCAAGUCAUACUUAAGACUUGAUAAGAUUUAUAAAUCUUAUCUAUAACAAUUAAUAGGAAGCCUUGUAAAGACUUCAAAGAAUCUCAAUCUUCCUUUGGCAUUUAGAAAGCCAAGGAUGUUAAAAAAAAGCAGAAACAUUUUCAAUUCAACAAACCAAGCUUCAUUUGAAGCAAUUCUAUCCAAACAAUUCAACCUCUUAGCCAAGAAAAUAUCGAUAGAAAUUUUAAAAAGGAUCCACCAUAAUUUCGUUCAAAAUUUCAAAAGGAUCAGUCAGAAUUUCGUUCAUAUUUCACGGAAGCAGAAGCUUCAUUCCGUUCAAAUAAUUCUAGGAAAAGGUAUGUUAAGGCUCUCCCUUCUUUCUUUUAGCAUGGUCCAAAUUAUACUGAAGAAACGAGCAAAUACACAGUUUCUAUAAAUUACUCUACUCAUAGAAAUAGUAGGGGUGUCGAUAUUCUUGAUUCCCCAUGAGAAUUAUUAUUAUCUUCUGUUCAUGGGUCUCAGAAUAAUACGCAUUUGGAAAAGUUUAUCCGGAAGGAAAUAUCGAGAUUAUUAUGUAUUUUUCAUGCAUUUUACUCAUUUAUACAUGUGCAUUGAUCCAUGACCAGAUUGUGUUACAUAUGCGUAUAUAUGUAAAUAUAUGUAUAUGGGAUAUGAGAAAAGGUUACGGCAUUAUAUACGUACCACCACCUGAUCAGUUGGUAUAUGAUGAUGAUGUUGCCCACAGUGGCUGAAAUAUGAUUCAAACGGUGUUAUAUAUGCGUAUAUAUGUAUGUAUAUGUAUAUGGUAUAUGGGAAGAGGUUAUGGCGUUAUAUACGCACCACCACCUAAUCAACUGGUAUAUGUUGAUGAUGUUGGCCACAGUGGCCGAGACGAUAUGAUGGGAUGCCCUCAGUGGCUUGAUGAUAUUAUGUACACCUAUACCUAUGCAUGGCACGACAUUUAUACGCAUGUGCAUGAUAUUAUAAACAUUUCAAAAUUUACAGAGUUAUUCAGAUUUAAAGGUAUUUCUGNNNNNNNNNNNNNNNNNNNNNNNNNCUUGCCGGCUCGCCCACUAUAUUCUGCACGUAUACGUACAUAUGCCUUGAUGGCAGGUUUCCUUCACCUAUAUUAUUUUUGUAAUGCAACAGAUGUUAUACAGGUUUAUAUCUUAGACGCAUGCUUAGGGGUGUUUGACAGAUAGGACUCAACCACCCGUCGCGGCCCAUCGAUUUGGGUCGUGACAAAAACCAACUCCCAAACUUUCCGCCAAGCAUCUGAAAUCACCCUGAGGUCCCCGGGCCUCAACCAAAAGCACAAACACAUCAUAUACCACUACUCAAACUGGCAUCUAUCUUCAAAAAACCUCAAAAAACAUUGAAUCAACCAAAUCACAUCGAAAUAAAGCCUAAGAUUCCAAAAUCUUCCAAUUUCACUUUUGAUCAAAUAGUCUACCAAACCACAUCCGAGUGACAUAAAAUUUUGCACACACAUACCAAAUGACACAACGAACCUACUACAACUUCCGUAAUUCCAUUCUGACCACUAUGUCAAAAUAUCACCUAUCAACCGGAAAACUUCAAAAUCCCAAUUUUGCCAAUUCAAGUAUAAACUUUCCACAGAGCUCCAAAACACAUUUCGAUCAUGCUCCUAAGUCUCAAAUCACCUAACGGAGCUAACAAAUCAUAAAAAUUAUGAUCCGAGUCAUAUACCAACAAGUCAAAUCUUGGUCAAACCUUUCAAAUUUUAAACUUCAAACUGAGGACUGUUCUUCAAAAUUCAUUCUGAUUACCCUGAAAAACCAAAACCAACAAUUUGUAUAAGUCAUAAUACAUCACACGAGGCUAGUCAUGCCCGAGAACUGGCGAGCAAAGUGCAAAAGCUCAAAACGACCGGUCGGGUCGUUACACCCAAUCCUAUAACCCCUUUAGCCAACUGACCCCAAAUACCCGUCCAACUCGCCCCAUCUCCCCAUUAAAUCUCAGCCAUCAAUUUAUUUUAAUCCAAUAGUCAUAAGUUAGUCCCUCACUCCACAUAAAAAUUAUUUUUUGUCAUAACCCUAACCCUAAAUGAAGAACACCAAACAACGCACUUUCUCUUCUCAAACCUGCCACUUCCACCUCGAGCCAAACUCGUCGAAAAGCUCAGAAAAAACGGCGAGUUCGCUCUGCCGAGUUCCAUGGUCCCCCCAUCUUCUCCUUCUCUCACGCCACACAUUCCGUACCAAGCCUCAUCAUUUUCAUGCGUUUUCUUGCUCUCCAAGUUCAAAUUGGAUGAAUGGAGGCUGUAGAUGAAUGAAUAUCAAUCUACACCCUUCAUUUGUUAGAUUUUGAACUAUAUAACAAAGAAAUCAGAAGAAAAUUGCAAGGGAGUCUUUGAAGAGAAAAUCAGGGGAAAGCGAGAGGAAAGGGUCAACGAAAAAGGAGUUCUAUUCUAAUUUCGAUUUGGAAUUUUUAGUUUUAGUUUUAAUUUAUUUUUUAUUAAAAGAAAGUUUUCUGCUCCUUCAUCUCAUUUUCGAGAUUCUAGUUUGAGGUUGGAUAUUUUUGGGGUUGGAAACUGAAAUUUAAAAAAGAAUGGAAAGGAUUCUUUUUACUUCUUUUUCAUUCUGUUUUGGUUUGAGUAUUGGUUUAAUUUCAGAAUUUCUUUUCAAUUCCUAGAACAAAAAUACAAAAAAAAAAUGUUUCCAUCUUGAGUCAAUUAGUAUUUUAGUUUCAAAAAAGAAGAAGAAAGAAUAUACAAAAUAUUCUCCUUUCUUCUUCCUAUUCUGAGUCUCAACUAUGGAUAUUCAAUUGAGUUGAGAUCGAUUCUAGUUAGCAUUUUUUUCCGUCAGAGGUUCAAGUUGUCCGUUCCUAAUUAGCCUGCUGCAGUUUCAAUUUUGUGGACAAGUUUGUCACCAGACUAUCUUGUAAUCGCCUACUAGCAGAUUAAUCGAAAGCUCACAUUCAGGUUCACACCUUAUCUUGCUCUGUUUAUGUAUAUGUGGAUCCAAGUAUGUUUGGAGCUUAAGAUAUAGAAGUUUAAAUUGCAUGCUAUACCUAAGUGAGUGUUAGCAAAUGCAGGCUGUGAUCGAGUUAUUAUAAUUUAACGUGUUUGAUUUCUUCAUGUGUCUGAAAUGUCAUUUAAGUAUGUACUUGCUCGACUUUUACAUGAAUAACUAAACUUUUGACUAGCUCUAUGAUUGAUAGACAAAACAUGGUAUUAUUGCGUUGAUUUUCUGUUUCUUGAAGAAUUUCUUGCGCAUCUCGAGUUCAAAUUGAAUUCACAAUAAUGUUAAUCAGUGAUUUUGGUUAUAUCCAACUAUCUUUAUUAGUUCAACUAGACAUAUCCAUUAGAGCAUGCCAUUAUAUGUUGAAUUUAAGGAGUCUAUGUUAGUCGUGAAUCAUUCAACUUUGGUUAGCGUUCAAUUGCUUGAAUAGUAAAAAUAUUUGGUUAUGUCUCAUAGUGAAACUCAUUUUUUGCCAUGUUCGAUAUUGAAGAGUGUCUGUUUAAAAAUUCUUAUAUGCCUCACUUUAGUUUUAGGCUCAUAACCUUGGUUUCGUCUAUGUGUUACUGGGAGGUUAAUUGGCUUUGUGUGAUGGUAAUCCCUUGGGGGCAAUCCUUCUCGCUAAAACAAGAACACAAAUGGAGUCGAUUCAGUAGUGUAUUUUGUUCAUUUUGAAAGUUUGAAUCUGCCUGUGGCAAAUAGAGCAAUCUAUGUAGUUACUAACCUAGUAAUUAUUGUGAAAACUCAUACAACAUCAAAGUGCCUAAGUUAAUUAAGCCAGGUACUAGAGGCCUUUCCAUGUAAUUACUUUCUCUAGUUUUUCCUAAUAAUGUACAUAGCCGAUGAUUGGAGUUAAUGUGCAGAUUGCUGAGUUUACUUUGAGGAAUACGCUUAGAUGUGUGAAUGGGUUAGUAAAUGUUCCUACCCUACUUGGAUCCAUUUUCUUUUCCUUUCUUUCUUUUGAUUUAAUUGAUUAGUUCUUUAUUUAUUUCUUGUUCUUAAUUGUUAAUGUUUAUGUAUUUGGUUUUUGUUGAAAUUGUUUAACUAAUUGUUGAGAUAGCAGGAUUGGGACAAGGCCAAAGCCCAUUAGCAAUUAACUUGUUUCCAUGUUUUAGGUAUCGGGAUCGGCUUAAUAAAAAAAAUUAGAAACAAAACAUGAGCAUUAAUUGAAUUGUUCUUUUAUUUAGUUCUUUUCUUCAUUUUCUUUAUUGAUCAUAUUAUUCGCUAGGAGCAUGUUUAGCCCGACCACACAUGGGUAGGCAAACCUUAGGAAUUUUGUUUGUUUCGAUGCGAGAGGUCGUUCCCUUAGUUAAAUUUAUCCGAGGAAUGUGAUCGGAGACAACCUACACCACUACAAAGUGGAGAGAGCGGUCGAAGCAACUUUUGCCCGAGAUGGUCGGGAUCGAAUCCAAAGGGAGCUAGAAGUGGGAAUUGGAUUUCUAUCUAAACUAGAAAUACGUAGUGCUCUUAAUUACACUUCCAAUCAUCUUUUGGUUGGUUGUUACUUCUAAUAUUUAUACUAAUGAUAAGCUAAACUAAACUAAGAAUUAUUGCUUUUAAGGUUUUCUAAAANNNNNNNNNNNNNNNNNNNNNNNNNAUAUAGCCAAUGCACAGAAUUACUCACUCUAUACCUCUCGGUAGCUUGAGUGACUUUGCCCUAAUUGACUUUCUCAAGACCAAUUUGGUGUCAAAAUUGUGCAAGAAGGCUCAAGUCGGGUAUUACUAUCUCUAGGUUUAACCCUUUAAUUGGGGCUAUCAAUCUCUUGAUUACACCCCAAUUCAUUGUUAAACUAAUUUUCCUUGACUCAAGAAGAGCCCAAGUCAAAUAGGCACAAAUUAGUGUUUGCAACCACUAAUUUAACAUGGAAAACACAAAUCAGUCCAAAUAUCAACUACCCAUAAACAUCAAAGCCUUAAAUCAAAAGACCCAUCAAAUACCCACACUAGGGUUGAGCCACAACCCUAGCUAAUGGGUCUAGCCACUCAUAAUAAUGGAAGAAAACAGAGAAAUAGAUGAAGAAUAACCCAUAUGAUUUAAUUACAAACUACGAUAAAGAAGAUUCAGUGUUAAUCUGGCUACAAAUGACUCAAAAUGGACAAAAAUGCCGUUCACGUGCUCUGGUAUCUAACAGAUUACAAAAAAUACCCUAAAAUGUGAAAAGAAAAUAUUUAUACUAGGCCGAAUUUUUUGGACAAAAAAAACUCUGACGAGGUAUUGUGGUCCGCAUAAAAUGCACCGCGGACCACAAUGAGGCUUCUUGGCUUGAUUAUUCAUUUUCUGAAUCUGGCCACCGCGACCGCGAUGGCUUCAACUACGGUCCGCACAAAAAGGACCGCGAACCACAUUGGCUUCUAAUAGUUGAAAUCCCAGCUCUCUGAAUCUCUGCUCUGCGGACCGCAUAAAAUCAAUUGCGGCCACGGUGAGGCUACUGCGGUCCGCACAAAAUGGUUUGCGGCCGCAGUGCUUGAGCUUACAAAUUAACACCUCUCUGAAUCUCCUCAUCGCGGACCGCACUAAAUGGAUUAUGGCCACGGUGGUUCUGUUGCAACUGUGCUUUGACUUGUUCUUGGUACUUGUGCAUGUUUCACUCUUUUUUGAGCUGGUUUUGACUAAUUGUCACUUUUUUCCAAACCCUGCAAACAAGUACAACAUGUAAGCUUUUGGAACUAUUUUGUAUACAUUUUUAAUCAAAACUAAAGUAAAGAGGAGUGUAAAAUGAACUAUAAUCCCUAGUUAUCAGAAUGCCCCGAAGGAUUUGUAUUUAUUUUAUUCCGAGGAAUGCCUCAUAGUAUUCUGUAAUUGAAGGCCAAAAGCGAACUCGUAGUACUUCUAUUCUUAUUUUAUUUUUAUUUUUAUCUUUCUUUUAUUAUGUGGGAAUGAUCUUGAGCCUUUUAUGUGUUAGUUUUGCCAUUUUUGUAUUUAUUACAUCAAUUCGAAUAUCUUAAAUGCCGACUAGAUCAAGUAUGCAAUCGUACUAGUUACGAGACUUGGGGAGUUCCUAACACCUUCUCCCCGAGUCAAAUGAACACCCUUACCAAGAACUUUGGUGCAGAUUAUGUUUAGAGUCAAAAAUGUGUUUUGAAAAGAAACUUUGCUUUUGAACGGUGACCUGGAACACUGAAACCCAAUGCUAGGUGGCGACUCUAAAAAGUCUUUUUGAACACAAUUCUUUGUCACUUUCGAAUUUGAAAACCCUUUCGAGCUUCAAAAAAUCUUUUUAUAUUUUUAAGAGGGUUUAGUGAAGUUUUAAAAAAAGGGGUGUGACAGCUCUGGCGACUCCACUGGGGAGUUGCAGGUUCGAGCUGAUACUUGAUCUUGUUGGCUUUUAGAAUAUUCAGUUGAGGUGUUUGUUUUCUUUAUUUGAUCUGUUUAUUUAGUUUGUUUGUCUUAUUUCAUGUUUUGUUGGUUAUUUAUUUAUUGUUUUUUCUUUAUGUGUUACUGCUUCAUAACUAUCAUCAUAUGCAUCACCCUAAGUCAAUUCUUUCUGCAACAAGUCUCAGAGUACAUGUCGCGUACACGAACUCUUUGUUGAGUCACCCUUAUUUUUGGAGGGGGUCAUCGGACGUAUGGAGUGGGUGAAAAGCUUAGCAACCACUAUCAACCAUAAGCUCCCCUGAAUUGCCUUGUUAGUGAACCCCAAGCGUAGGUCAGCCUUUAGGUUAUUUUUAUUUGCAUCAUAUCAUUAUGACCAAGCAGGGCCCAGUCCUAGGUGUCGUGUCCUUUGAAGAAAACCUACCCAAAUUGUGCCCAAAUGGGAUCGUGGCCCAGAAUGAUAUUCAAUCAUCCUAUGUGCUAAAUGUUGCAUCUAUGAGGGUAGAAAGGUCAUUUGGCGAACCGAUGUUUUGGAAAGAAGGGUGAAAAAUAAAGCAAGUAGGGCCCAAUUACAUUUUUCUUUCAUAACUUUUUCAAGAAAAGAAAAAAAAAACUAAAAAAGAUUUUGCACUUUCCCAUCAUUUUCCAAAAAUAAAAAAAAAAGAGAAAAAAGAAAAUCCAAAAAGAUUUUACAUUCUCCAUUAUCUUUCAAAAAGACAAAAAAUACAGUUUUUCCAAAUUAGCUGCAUUUUUUUAAAAGUUGUUUCCCAUGUCUAAUCUUACCGAACUAUGCGUACCUGAUUCUCGUCUUUCGAGGCAGGAUACGUAGGCAACCCAUAUAGGGUCCGGUCUUCCUAGUGAAUCUUAGGUUCUUGGCUUCGGGGGUCGUAGCCAAAUCUUGCAUGUUUAGCCACAUUUGGCCACAUUAGCCAAUUUUUCAAAAUAGAGUUGUUUUAUCAAAGAAGUUUAUUAUCCCAUGUCUUACAACCCCGAGUCUACAACAAAGUGUCCUCUCAAUUCUAAGGUCCAUUCCUGUUAAAUUUGCAUGUCUAGCCACUUUAGGCCACAUCGGCCAUUAUUGCAAAAUCGGGUUAUUUUCGCAAAAGUGGUUCAAUUACCCAUGUCUUAGGAUCUUGAGUCCACAACUCGGUAUCAUACCACUUUAAGGUUCGUCCUUGUCGUGUUUGCAUCACUAGUCACAUUUGGCCAUAUCGGCAAUUUUUGCAAAAUGGGUUAUUUCCGCAUAGUAAUUUUUAAAGCCGUGAUUGUUGGUUAGUGAAAAUUGUGUCUUGCAUCUGUCCACUAGGAAGUGUUUUGGUGUCAUGUAGUAUCCCGAGUCGCUAACCAUGUUCUCUUCAUUCAGGUAUGGACCCGCUAAUUCGAUCCAAACUGCUGAUAGUAGUAAAGAUUCCUAGAAAAUUGGUCAAAUGGUGGAAAAUAUUUUCACCGUUAGAGUAGCAUGAGUUAAUGGAGAAAUUGGGUACCAUCACUUCCUUUCUUGACAUCACACCUCGCCCAGACUUAGUAAAGGUGAUGCUGACCUAAUGGGAUCCGCAAAAUUUGAUUUUCAGAUUUGGAGAGUGUGAGAUGACUCCUACCUUGGCGGAAAUGUCAGGUCUCACUCGUUUAAGCUAUGUAGGCAAAGACAUGAUACUUCCCUGAGAUCACUCUAGGACAAGAUUCCUUAGCGACCUGGGCCUAAAAGACAACAAGCAUUUAGGAUGCCUCGAGCAGUCCUGGAUAUCCUUGGAUUAUUUGCUUGCUAGAUUUGGACCAUACGAUAGUUUUGACGUCUUUUGGGAUGCGUUUUGCACAACCAAGGCAAAGUUGCAAAGACACCGCCUUUAAGCUUUUAGCCUUGCUUUGUUGGGAUUAUUGGUGUUUCCUUUAUAUGAGAGGUACAUUAGCACCCGUCUACAAUCAGUGGUAAUGGCACUAUUUCAUGAGAAGCAACACAAAACCGUUACCGUUGUGCCGAUGAUCUUAGCAGAGUUGUAUCGAGUCCUGAGUGAGGUUAGGGGAGGUGUCAGGUAUUUUGAGGGAAGUAACCUUUUGCUGCAAUUGUGGAUGAUGGAGCAUUUACACACCACUUCCUUACUUUGUCCCAUCAACCGUGCCUUGAGGGAUCGAGUGGUAUGCAUUGAGCGUAGGAUGAAAUCUCCUAAGUUUACAUACCCAGUAGGCGUCAUAUCUUGGAUUGAGUUCCUUGGGUUGAGGACAAAUGAGAAUGCUUUGUGGGCUUACCUUUGGCUACCUUUAGAAGAGAUCUUGGUAGGAUGUCGCAUGCAGCCUUUCUUGGUAUUGAUAGAACUUAAAUGUGUCAGGUCGUACACUCUCAUUAGGGUGAUGUGACAGUUGGGCAGGAGACAAGAGGAGCCUCCAACUUUGAAUCUUUGGAGGCACAUCAUGAGUUUUAGCAGAAAGGUGGCUGACGAAAUUAUGUAGUGCAAUACUGGAACAAUGCAAAGAGGAUGAAGAAAAAUACAUUAGUAGAGGACAUUGGCAGGCCCGAGUGUACCCAGGAGCAUUUGAUCUGGUUGCAGUCCAUCCCAUCAGGGGUUAGUACCCCAUUGCCAGCACAGCUUAGGGGUCGGGCAAUUCAGACAAUUGAUUUUGAGGAGGCUUCGGAUCAGGAUCCUUGGGGUAAGCUUGAGUUGAUAAAGUCUCAGUUAGUGGGAUUAGUAGCAAACAUAGAGCAGCAUGGCCAGUAUUUGUUUAGGGUCGGCCUUUAGGAGGCAAGGGCACACACCAUGGUCUUUAUUCCCAGCAUCGGUGUUUCUUUACGAAGCAUGUUACAGAGUUUGAGCAUGACGGAUGGCUCAGGACCAUCCCAGUCGAGGGCAUCAUAUCCAGGAGCUACUUGAGGAGUCUUUUUAUGUGUUUUGAGUAUGUUUAUGUUGUCGUUAUCUUCUAGUCUUUUAGUACUGAGUCCUGUAGAUAGUGUUAAAGUCCGUCGUAGUGUAGUCGAGUCUGUCAGUCUUAUACUAUCGUACUUCCCAUUUUGUAUUUUGAAACCGAAAAGAUUUUAAAUGAAAAAAAAUCCAAAAAGAUUUUUAUGUGGAGCAUGAUACAUAGGCAACUUCAUCAGAUUAGAUCGAAUCAUUUUUUAAAAUUAAUGAAAAAGAGAUGGAAUUGUGGGAUACGAAAAAUGAAAAGAAAAAGAGUGAUAAGCCAAAAAAAAAGUGGGAAGAAAUUUAUAAGAGGUGCUAGAAAAGAAAGAGAAGAAAGGAUUGAAAUGAGCAAAUUGGGAUGAUGCCAUAUGACCUUGCGAUCCUCAAAGCCAUUUUAGAACCGCUAAUUGUUGCUAGGUGCAUUGCACGUAGCAUGGUAUUAUUAUCCGAUAAAUGCCCUAACGCUAACAUGGUGAUUUUGUGUUGUUUUCGUUUGUUAUCUUUAUUCCAAUUUUAGGAAGGUGGUUAGUUUGUUGGCAUCCUGGCAAGUCAUCCAUACAACGCCAUGUCAAAGUGCCAGAUAGUCAUGACUAGCAAAGAAACAGACACGAGAGUUGUAGACCCUCCGAGGGAGAUUGUAGAAUCAGAGUCGGAACUGAAAGAGGAGGUCGGAAGGUUGAAGCAUCAAAUGGCGGAAAUGUAUCAGGCCUGGAUUAAGGGACACCCUCCACCCUCAUUCUCUACCAACUAUGCAAAAAAAACCCUGCUUUCGUGUCCCAAGCCCAAAUGCCAAGUACCAUUGAUCUUUCCCUACAACACGUACCCGGCUUCACACUUUACCACUCCUACCCUAGCACUUCGGCCCGAAUUUUCCAUGCUUUACCCGCCAAAACAACCUCAUACCCAACUCCUACAUCUGUUCCCAUUUUUGUACCUCCUCCACAAGCUACCCUCCAUCGAUCCUCUAGUGAGCCCGCAUUCCAAGCUCCAGAUACCCAAUACUAUGCCCCGGAACCCACUUUCAAAGUCCCAGAUCCUUAUUCCUACCCUCCUCACUUUGAGACACUUGUUAAAAAUGAGAAACCACCCAAGAACGCAGAGCAAGAGGAGAUAUUUAGAAAGUUAAAGAGUAUGGAGCAAUCAUUGAGAAAUAUGCAAGGGUUAGGAAGCCAGGUGAGUGUGGCUUAUAAGGAUUUGUAUUUGUUCCCUGAUGUCCAACUGCCUGUCGGGUUUAAGAUGCCCAAGUUUGAUUUGUAUGACGGACAUGGGGAUCCUAUAGCUCAUCUGAGACUUUACUGCAAUAAAAUGAGAGGCGCUAGGGGAAAAGAUGAAUUACUAAUGGCAUACUCCAGCCAGAGUCUGAGUGGGGCAGAUUUAGAAUGGUACACCCAAUAGGAUGCCAGUAGAUGGUACACAUGGGACGAUAUGGCUCAAUCAUUUGCCCAAAAUUUUCAGUACAACAUAGAUAUUGUCCCAGAUCGCUUAUCUCUGACCAACAUAGGAAGAUGAGAUGGUUGAAUACUUUCUUCAAGCCCUGGAGCCUACUUACUUUGGCCAUUUGAUCUCUUCCAUUGGUAAGCAUUUCAAUGACGUGGUAAAGAUGGGAUAAAUGGAGGAAGAGGGGCUUAAGUCGAGCAAGAUCAUGAGCUACUCUACUAUAAAAGAAACCACACACGCAAUCUAGAGCGGUAUCGGAAGUCUGCUAGGCAGGAAGAAGAAGGAAGAUGUCACUAUGGUUGUCUCCGGACCAUGGCGUGGCCAGAGGGGUUCACCUUAUCAGCACAACCAACCUUGAUCCCGACCUCCAGCCUAUAUCCAAGCUCCAUAUGACCCACCCCAGCAUUAUUUCCCACCACCAGACCCGCAAUACUCAACCAAACCACCUCAAUACCAUGUCCAUCAUGCACAGUCAUAUGCUCAACCCGCUCCUUAUCCAUAAUGGCAUGCUCCAGCUGCAUAAAAUACUUAUCCACCCCCAUAACCCUACCGAAACCCUACUGGUCCAAAUUUUUAACCAAAUCCAGAGUAUAAAAGGGAAAAGCAGCUGCAGAAACAAACUUUCACCCCACUUGGAGAGUCCUAUGUUAUUCUGUUUCAAAGGUUAAGGCGGUUGGACGUCUUGAGGUCGAUUGAGUGAAAGAUACCAAAUCCCUUUUCGAAGAACCAUGAUUAUUCUCUCAGAUGCGCCUGGUGCUCCAGGGCAUGAUAUAGAAAAGUGAUGGCAUUUGAAAAGGGCAAUCCAAGAGCUUAUUGAUACAAACCAAAUUGUAGUCCAAAGCCUAGACACGCUGAACAUCAACCAAAACCCUUUGCCAGCCCAUGCAGGGACGCAUAUGAUUGAAAUAGUUCAUACAGAUGGGUAGCCUGGGAAGUCUUCAAGGUUCGUCAUGAUGAUUCGAGCCAGUGAAAGUAAUUUGGUCAAGGAUCUAGACUCUACCAAAGCAACAUACCUGACAGUGGAGAAGGUGACAGAGAAACUGAGCUCGUUCAACUUGAAGCCACUGGUGUUGGUCGUGAAAGGGAUUUUGCAGGAUAUUAGGGCAAGCCAGAAAAGUUCAAAAGUGGUAGUGCUAGGGGUCCCGAGUAAGCCUGUUAUGGUUGUGAAAGGGACUCUUAUUACCCCUGUUGUCCUUAAACCAAUAACCCAGUUGCCAGUAGUAGAUACCAAAGGUGUUUCGUGGAACUACAAGCAAGUGAUAGUAACAUAUAAAGGGAAAGAGGUAGAGGAAUAAGUUAAUGAACCGGAAGGCUGACUCGUUCUGGGAGAUGCUUUAUCCCAAAAGAGUUGAGGAAAGACAAGUCGUUCAAAGAUAGCCAGAUCCUAGUAAAGAUGCCAGUCAUCGAAGAAGAGGCGGAAGAGUUCCUGAGAAAAAUGAAGGCGCAGGACUAUUCCAUUAUAUAGCAGUUAAGGAAAACACCAGCUGAGAUUUCUCUUUUAUCUUUGCUGAUACAUUCAGAUGAACACCGCAAGGUCCUCAUGAAGAUCUUGAAUGAGGCCCAUGUUCCUGAUAAGAUCACGGUGAACCAUUUGGAGAAGAUUGCUAACAAGAUCUUCAAAGCAAACAAGAUCACUUUCUCGGAUGACGAACUUCCACUGGAGGGUACAGAACACAACCGAACUCUUUAUCUCACAGUAAAGUGUAAGGAUUCGGUGGUCUCGAGGGUAUUGGUUGAUAACGGUUCUAGUGCAAAUAUUUGCCCACUCUCCACUCUGCAAAAGUUGAAAAUCGAUACUGAAAGGAUCCACAUGAACAGUAUAUGCGUUCGAGGUUUUGACGAAGGGGAAGGGAUUCUAUUGGCGAUAUAAUGCUUGAACUGACAAUAAGACCAGUUGAAUUCACUAUGGAGUUCCAAGUGCUAGAUGUAGCCGUCUCCUACAAUCUAUUGUUGGGCAGGCCCUGGAUACAUGCUGCUAAGGCAGUCCCGUCUUCUCUGCACCAAAUGGUGAAGUUCGAAUGGGACAGGUACGAAAUAGUUGUGCAUGGUGAUGAGGACUUAUCAGCUUGUAAUGACAUAAUUGUUCCGUUUAUUGAGGCUGAAGAUGAUAAAGGACCGUGGGCCUAUCAAACUUUCGAAAAAGUGUCUGUUGAGAAGGUUCUUGAAGGAAAAUGCAUUCUGGGUCCUAAGUUGUCACGCCCCGAACCUAGGGGAAAGACUGGCACCUAGUGCCUCACCUAUCCUUGUGUACUAACUUGCAACUAAGGGACUCUGAACAUAUAAUGUCAUACUUUGGCCAUGGGUCACAUUGCCAGAUAACUACAAAUGUUGACUAAAUGUCAAUAUAUAACUGGUCCGACAAGGCCAUCAUAACUAUUACAGCUGACAAACCAACCAAAUAUACAUACAAGGCUUGCAAGCCCAACAUAUUGCACUAACUGACAGGAUAUGUCUACAAGCCUCUACUGAUGGUAUACUAUGAUCGGAACAGCUUCCCGACCUACUCAUAACAUAUAUACAUAUAUAUACAAGAUGUACAUAAGGCUCUAGACCCAGCAACUCUGAAAGGCAUGGAGCUUACCGAUCAAGCUGAACUCGGGAAACACUUAAUGAGGAGGUCUAACCGUCUGUCUGUCUGAACCUGCACGCAUGAAAUGCAGCGCCACCAAAAAAGGGACGUCGGUACGAAAUAAUUUACUGAGUAUGUAAGGCAAUAUAUUGAAAGCUGAAACUGAACUGAUAAUAUAAUAACUGCAAGUAGCUGGAAGUCAAAGAUAAUCUGGAGAUAUGCUUACCUGUUGAUACUGACUCAACUCUCUCAAUAUAGUAAGUAAAAUAGUUGUCCGACCCUAUAAGGCUCGGUAUAUAUAUAACUGCUCUACCAUAGUAGGUUCGCUCAUAGGCGCUCGGCCAUAUUAGGCUCUGUAGACCAACUGGGCUCGCUCAUAAGCGCUCGACCACAGUAGACUCGGUAUAUAACUUACCAUUUGAUCAGAGGUUGCCCAAUAGGGGCCUGCCCAUCGAUUAUAGCUCGAUGGUAAUGAAAAUACUUUUAAUACUGUAUAUAUGUAAACUCUCUGCUCUCUUGACGGGAAAAAAAAUACUCAAUUGAAUAUGAAUUCCCCAUAAGGAGAAUAUUAUAACUUACAACACUAGAAAAAUAUACGCAAUUUGCGAUACUAAAAAAAUAUACAUAAAUUCCGGGAUAUGAAUGUAAUGACAAGAUCAUGCCAAAUGAAAGAAGAGCUUAGCCUUAACAUACCUGGAGAUAUCCAACAUCUAUCAAGCAAAGCCAGACUUCCUUGGGAAAAAACUCAAAAAUCAUUUUCAUUUGACAAACUUGCAAUUACAUAUGCAAGAACUCAUUCUCCACCAGCAGAAAUGAUCAAAUAAGAGAACUAGUGUGAUAUUCCUUUAAAAGAAUAAAAGAGCAGCAUUAGCAAAACAUUUAUGGUAAGCUCCACAUAACUGUGCUAGAAAUUCCAAUUAUCUCCAUUAGCCUCCAAACAUCUUAAAGGGCCAACCUUGGAGAGAUCAACACCAUCAUUUAUUUCUCAAAAAUUGCCAAAACGAACUCUACCAUUAUACUCCAACUCUUAUCGCCAACAGUCAUAUAUACGGUUUCAUUUGCUUGACAAUUGCUAACACUCAUAUUAAAUAGUCAAAGAUUUUGGAUUGCUUCAGAUUGCAUCAUAAGUGGAAUCUUUUCAAUUCUUUGAAUUAUUAUAAGACACAUAGCUUUGUUUGAAUUAAAAAGCAUUAUCUGAAUUGAUUGCCACAUAAUCCAUAAUGACUAAGAGUCAUAUGGUUUGGUGAUGGCUUGCUGCCACGUUACUACACUUAACCUUAUCCAAAAAAUUAUCCACUUAUUAAUUAACUGGGUAAUGUCCUGUUACUCAGUAGUUAAUUAAUUACUUGCAAAAUUGAGAAUUUUCCCGCUUACUUAAAAUAUUACUCACUUUUCACAUAUCUUAUACACCUUACUAGUAUAGUCAUGUGGUACCUUGCAUGACACUAGUCCAUAAAUACUGGAUAUUUUAGCUCGGGCCAUAUUUUAUCCCAAAAUACCAAACUUCGACAAAAUUCGUUUACUUUGACUUUCCCCCCUCCCCCCCCCCCCUUCACCUUCAUAAAUUUACUAGUCACUUGUGAAAUAGCAUAAUCCUUGUAAUCCCCAAAUAAUCUUUUCCUUGGACAGAUGUUAAUUACCUUACGACAAAUUCAACGUAAAAUACUACAGGGUGCAACACUGUCGUAACUUAUUACUGCGCAGCGUAACAUUUCCGUAAUAUAAUUCUUCUGGGUAGAACACUGUCGUAACUUAAUAUUGCAGGACGUAAUAUCAGUGUAAUAUAUUACUGCAGAGAGUAACAUCAUCGUAACAUAUUUCUGCAGAGCAUAAUAUUGUCGUAAUAUAAUACUGCGGGACGUAAUAUUGACGUAAUAUUGUGGGGUGUAAUAUAAGUUGCCCUUCGCGUCUAUCAUGGAAGCAAAUAAAAUGUUGAAGAAUGGUUUUGUACUGGGCAAGGGUCUGGGCUCAUCUCUGCAGGGCAUUGUGCAUCCAGUGCUCCCCAGUGGAAAUCUUGGUACAUUUGUUUUGGGAUUCAUGCCCAGAGAAGGACGUGAAAAGGGUUAAAAAUCUGAACCAGAUGGUAUGGUCACUCCCCAAGCCUGUCCCACACAUCUCUAAAUCUUUUGUCAAGCCAGGGGCCGAAAAACCUCCAACCUCAUCAGUGCCAAAACUUGUGGUCAAUGUUGAUGAAGAGCUGAUCAAGAGGCUCCAGAGUCUAUUUGAUGAGGUAAAUAUGGUAGAAGUUGGUGAAGGUUCUAGUAAAGCAGAUGUGUAGUUCGUUUGAUCAAAUGUGAAGCUUAGCAAUUGGGAAGCUACUCCUUUCCUCACCAGGAAGGAGAUUUGGUAGUUUGCUUUGGUUUCCUUUCUAUUAUCUAGGUUAUUCAAGGGUUGUAAUCCAUAUUUUUAUUUUUUGCUUGUUUUGAUGUCCAAACCCUUCUAUCCUUUUAUUUUCAAUGAAAUACAAUUUACCGUUUUCUGCUAUUCCUAAUAGUAUUUUAUUUUGUUUUUCUUUUGUACAGUUCUUUUUAUGCUGGUUGCAAUGACAUGACAUGCAUGAGGAAUUUUCAGUCAAGUCUUCAAAGCCAAUCUAAUUCUAAAAUAAUAAUCCAAUAAGUAGAGUAUGAUGAAGAAGCAGCAUUUGAGGAAAUCAGUAAAGAGGUAAAACAAUUUGAAGAAAAUCCAAAUCCUAAAAUGAAUGAAACUGAAGCAAUCAAUUUAGGAGACCAGGAUAAUAUUAGGGAAACCAAGAUAAGUGUGCAUCUGGAACCACAAGUUAUGGAAGAAAUAAUCAAAACAGUGUUUGAGUACAAGUUUGUCUUUGCAUGAUCGUGUGACGAUAUGUCGUGCUUGAGCACGAAUUUAGUAGUUUAUAAAUUGCCAAUUGACCCAGCAUUCCCUAUUGUCAAGAAAAAGCUAAGCAAUUUCAAGAAUGACAUGAGUGUGAAUAUCAAAGAAGAAAUCAAAAAGCAGUUUGAUGCAAAGGUCAUUCGGGUCACUCGAUAUCUCACUUGGUAAGCUAAUGUUGUGUCAGUACCAAAGAAGGAUGGUAAAACCCGGGUAUGUGUUGAUUAUCAUGAGAUUGGCUCUUUUGUGGAUUGCUACGCAGGAUAUCACCAGAUCUUAAUGGAUGAGGAAUAUGCAUAAAAGACAGUGUUCAUCACGCUAUGGGGAACAUAUUGCUAUCGGAUAAUGCCAUUUGGUUUAAAGAAUGCUGGGGCAACUUACAUGAGGGCGAUGACUACCAUAUUUCAUGAUAUGAUACAUACAGAGAUUGAGGUUUAUGCUCAAAGAAGCAGUCUGACCAUGUCAAGGAUUUGAGGAAAUUCUUCCAAAGGCUCCGCAGGUACAACCUCAAGCUCAACCCUGCAAAAUGUGCAUUUGGUCUCCCCUCUGGGAAACUACUGAGAUUCGUGGUUAGUAGACGCGGUAUUGAGUUGGAUCCGUCAAAGAUCAAAGCUAUCCAAGAGUUACUACCACCAAAGAAUAAAACUGAGGUGAUGAGUUUGCUUGAAAGUUUGAAUUACAUCAGUAGGUUUAUUGCUCAUAUCACGACAACCUGUGAGCCCAUCUUUAAGCCGCUGAAGAAGAAUAUUGCAGUCAAGUGGACUGACGAGUGUCAAGAAGCGUUUGAUAAGAUUAAGAGGUACCUGUCGAACCCACAUGUGUUGGUCCGACCAGAGCCUAGAAGACCUUUAAUUCUUAUUUGACAGUCCUGGAUAAUUUUUUUGACUUUGUAUUGGGUCAACAUGACAUCACAAGAAAGAAGGAGCAAGUAAUCUGUUAUCUCAGUAUGAAGUUCACUCCCUAUGAGUUAAGUAUACUCUUCUUGAGAUGACAUGUUGCACCCUGACUUGGGUGGCACAAAAAUUGAAGCAUUAUCUUUCGUCCUACACUACUUACCUCAUUUCUCGUAUGGAUCCUCUAAAUUAUAUCUUUCAGAAGCCUAUGCCCGCAGGAAGACUUGCAAAGUGGCAGAUUUUACUCACAGAGUUUGACAUCAUCUAUGUGACUCGAACAGCGAUGAAAUCCCAAGCCUUGGCCGACCACUUGGCCGAGAAUCCAUUGGAUGAAGAAUAUGAGCCGUUGAAGACUUAUUUUCCUGAUGAAAAAGUAAUGUAUGUUGAUGAGAUAGACCAUGAUGAAAAGCCAGGUUGGAAACUCUUCUUUGAUGGAGCUACUAACAUGAAAGGUGUCGGAAUAGGGGCUGUACUUAUUUCUGAAACAGGGAAACACUACCCUGUAACAUCCCAGCUUCAAUUUUAUUGCACCAAUAACAUAGAUGAGUACGAAGCAUGCAUUCUGGGUUUGAGGUUAGCUGUAGACAUGGGAGUCCAAGAAAUACUGGUUUUGGGAAAUUCAGAUCUGUUGGUUCACUAGAUCCAAGAAGAAUGGGAGAUUCAGAAUUUGAAGCUCAUCCCGUAUCGACAGUGUAUGCCUGAUCUUUGUCAAUGAUUCAGGUUGGUCGAAUUUAGACAUAUUCCCAGGAUUCAUAAUGAGAUUGUCGAUGCUUUGGCUACUCUGGAGUCAAUUUUACAUCAUCCGGACAAGGCUUAUGUCGACCCCAUGCAUAUCCAAGUUCGUGAUCAACAUGCUUAUUGUAAUAUGGUUGAAGAGGAAAUCGAUGGUGAACCUUUGUUACAUGAUAUCAAGGAAUAAAUCAAGUCAGGGGUAUAUCCAGUACAUGCCACAGGUGAUCAAAAGAGAGCCAUCCGACGUCGGGCUAGUGGAAUUUUCUUAAGUGGGGGAAUCUUGUACAAUAGGACUCCAGAUCUAGGACUACUGAGGUGCAUAGAUGCUAUAAAAGCUUCAACUAUCAUGGCCGAAGUGCAUUCUAGAGUUUGCAGGCUGCAUAUGAAUGGGUAUGUCUUGGCAAAGCAGAUACUUCGAGUAGGUUAUUAUUGGCUCACCAUGGAACAAGAUUGCAUCAGCUUUCUUCGCAAAUGUCAUCAAUGCCAGGUGCACGGAGAUUAGAUUCAUUCUGCCAUCUGAGUUACAUACAAUGUCUGCACCUUGGACAUUUGUUGCUUGGGACAUGGAUGUCAUUAGACCAAUUGAGUCGACAACAUCAAAUGGGCACAGAUUUAUUCUGGUGGCCAUUGAUUACUUUACCAAGUGGGUUGAAGCUGUAACUUUCAAGUUCGUGACCAAGAAGGCAGUGGUGGAUUUUGUUCAUUCAAAUAUCAUUUGUCGGUUCGCAAUUCCCAAGGUAAUCAUUACAGACAAUGCUGCUAAUCUCAACAGUCAAUUCAUGAAAGAGGUAUGCUAACAGUUCAAGAUUAUGCAUCGAAACUCCACUCCGUAUCACCCCAAGGAAAAUGGAGUUGUUGAGGCAUCUAACAAGAACAUAAAGAAGAUACUUCGUAAGAUGGUGCAAGGUUCUAGGCAAUGGCAUAAAAAUUUUCCUUUUGCUUUACUGGGUUAUCACACUAUUGUUCGCACUUCAGUAAGUGCAACUCCUUAUUUGCUGGUAUAUGGAAUUGAGGCAGUUAUACAUGCGAAAGUUGAGAUUCCAUCCCUUCGGAUCAUAGUAGAAGUUAAAAUUGAUGAUGAUAAGUGGGUCAAAGCCCGGUUAGAGUAGUUGAGUUUGAUUGAUGAGAAACGAUUUGUUGUAGUAUGUCAUGGUCAAUUGUAUUGGAAGAGAAUGGCAAGAGCAUAUAACAAGAAGGUGCGUCCUCAAAAUUCGAAGUGGUCCAGAUGGUAUUGAAACGCAUCCUUCCACAUAAAACUGAAGCUAAAGGCAAGUUCGCCCCAAACUGGCAGGGGUCGUUCACUAUGACAAGAGUGUUGCCCAAUGGUGCUUUGUAUUUAACAGACAUAGAAGGCAAAUAUGUAGAUAUGGCUAUCAAUUCUGAUGCAGUCAAGAGGUACUAUGUAUGAGUUUCUUUACUUAUCUUCAAUUGCAUUUUGUGCUUGGCAUGUUCAAAGUUGAAAUGACGAAGGCAUUUUGUUCCUCUACCCAAACACUUUCAUCCUUUGUUAUCCCUUUUGAGCCUUAUUUAUUUUCUUUCAUACCCCUCUUUUAGAAUCAGAAAUAGAGUUAGAAAGCAAGAAAAAAAUUGAAAAAAAGGAAAGAAAAAAAUAAAAAGAAAAAGAAAGAAAAAGAAAAGAAAACAAAAAUUCAAACAACUUUCGUUUGAACUACUUUCGACCUGAUACCUUUUAAGGAUACGUAGGCAGCCUUACACGGUUCGGUCCCCUCAAAAUAAAAAUUCAAAAUUUCUCAGACCAAAAGAAACUGGGGCAGAAGUUUUGGUUUUGUAAAAGACAUAUUCCAAAAGUUGUAUUUUUGAACCCUUUUCAACUUAAAAUAUUUUGAGCCUCCAUGCCACCCUUUCUUUCUAGCCUGGUCCAAAAGCCUACAUUACGAUCCAAAAAAAUACCUUCCGAUCAAUAUUUGAGGAUGCCAAGUCAAGCGAGAUGGAGGUAUGAUUUACAUCAUGGGUAACACUCUGUUCAUGGGUGCAAAAACAAAAAAAAGAAAAAAAAAGAAUAAAAUGAGAGAGUCUUAUUGGUGAAAACCCUCACGGUCACCGUAAGGCAAUGGUGAGCUGAGAGAAAAUCUAAAAUGAGAGAGUCUUAUUGGUGAAAACCCUCAUGGGCACUGUAAGGCGAUGAUUAGUUGAGAUAUGAACAAAUGAAAGAGGCUUGUUGGUGAAAACCCUGCGGGACACUACAAGUUGAACGAGGCUCAUGACUUUACAGAGAAAUUGGAUCAUUGAAAGCCCGGUUUUGAAAUAUGAAGACAUGGCAUGAACUGAAAAUAUGAUUGGUUGAACAGAUUAGGUUGAUCUAUCCGAAAGGCAUGUCAUGGUCAUUGGAGCAAGCCAUUUCAUUCAGAUAAGUCUUUUUUCCCUUUCUUAUUCACAUAGUCAUCUUUGUUCAAGAUUUCCUUUAUUCCUUUUGCCAAAAAAAAUACUUCACUAUGCUAUUUGAGUCUACAUUUAUGAGUCUUUUUCGAGUUAGCCCUUGUUGAACAAGCAGGAAAGGAUUCCAAAGCCUAGUACCGGCUUUUAAAUUGCACAAAGCAGAGUUCGGCCAAGCACAUAACAAGUAACAUGUUUCAGAAUGAGCAACAUGGUGAUAACUAAAGUUCAAGUGAUUAAGUGAAUCUUGAAUUUUGAGAAAAUACAAGGAUUCGGUAACUUUCAGAAUGAAAACACAAUGCAACAAGUGAGUGUAAGUGAUUCAGGUCAUUCAGAGGUUUUGUGGUCCAGUUUCGAUCAAAAGGUCAAACAACUUCUUCCUGGCCCGAAGCAGCUAAUCAGAAUGAAACAUGGCAGUGGCAGAAGCAAACACUCAACAAUGAUCCCACAAACUAACCACCACAUUUUCAAACUAACAAGAUUUUAUUUGUCUGAAAUAGGGGGAAGAAAAUUUGUUAAUCCGCAGGGACCCUCCUUGGGGAAAGCAUAGUUCAGGGGCAAGGAAUUUUGUUCUUUCUGCAGAGAUCCUCCAAAAGAGAGCAUGACUCAAGUAAGUUCAUUUUCAUUUUUCAGGACUCUCCUGGAUAAUGGGAUUCGAUUUAAGUCUCAGGACACUCCUGGAUAAUGGGAUUUGAUUAUAUUUUCAGAACCCUCCUAGAAAAUGGGUUUAACUAACAGUCACUAAUGUUCCUAGUCCAAACUGGGGCAGAAUUUUUUUGUUGUUUUGUCUAUUUUUUUUAAUUGCAGGCACCCACCUGGAGAACGAGCGAAUUCAUUUCAAGUUCUAAUUCAGUGGCAAGCACCCACCUCGAGAACGAGGGAAUUUAUUUCAGAGUUAUUUCAAUUUUUAAGUAAGUCGCAGGCGCCCACCUAGAGAACGAGGGAAUCCAUUUCAAGUUUCAAGUCGGUCGUAGGCACCCACCUGGAGAAUGAGGAAAUUCAUUUCAAGUUUCAAUCAAGUCGCAGGCACCCACCUAUAAUCCAUUUCAAGUUUCAAAUCGGUCGCAGGCGCCCACCUGGAAAACGAGGGAAUCCAUUUCAAGGUUUACGUUGGCCGCAGGUGCCCACCUGGAGAACAAGGGAAUUCAUUUCAGAGUUACAUUCAAUUAUUAAAUUCAAGAGGCAUCAGGAGCCCUUCUAAAAAACAUGGUCAACUUUAGUUUCCAAGCUCAAGUCAGAGAAUCAUCAGGAGCCCGCCUGAAGAACAGGGUCCAUUUUUCAGUUUCAUGUUGAAAGAUCAAGUAGAAAUUCAAAGAAGAUUCAAGAUAAGAAGUAGAUAGAAUUUUUAUUUGUCUUUUAUUUUUUCUGUAAUUUUUUCUUUUAUUUUUGAUGUAAUGGCAGGAACCCCGGACCAGAACCUCGACGGCACUUCACUCGACUCUCCACCUCGGUACUCCAUCGUCCUUCUCACUUAUGAACUACACGUGGCCUGAUUCCUUUAUAAAAAAGGAUAUGUAGGCAUCUCAGAUACCAGGGCUCGGUCACAUUCUCUUUUCUUUUAGUUCUAGUCUCUCUAAAUAAGGGUCGGGUCAAAAAACCUAUCUCGUCAUUCUUUGUCUGAAAACUCUUUGUGUAAUUUUGACCCUCCCUGAGAUUUUACACAUGUUUACGUCUAAUAUCGCUAUUCUAACUAGUUUUGACUCUUUUACUUUACUUUAUUUUAUAACAAAAAUAAAAAUCACAAAAAAAAUAUUUUUCAUUUCUAUUGAGGUCAUUAGUCUUUUUAUAAUGAUAUUAUUUAAUUCUACUAGGAUUUUAAGUUACUUAUCUUCACUUUUAUUUUAAUAUAAUCUCUUGAAAAUACAAAAAAAAAAAUAAGUCCAAGUCAUAAUAUAGUUCGAAUUAAUUAAUUAGGAAUAACUUCACAAUUUUAUUGUAUAUUAUUUUAGAAAAAGAAAUACUUUUAGCCUUGUAGAAUUAAAAGGUCACUUUUAAAGGCAUUUUUACCCCAAAUUGAAGCCCAAUUCGCGUGCUAAAGAGGCUCAAAUCUAGGCAGCCCAAUUCCAUAACCCCUUCAGCCCAGCUGACCCCAAAUACUCGUCCAACCCGCCCCAUCUCCCCAUUAAAUCUCAUCCAUCAAUCUAUUUUAAUCCAAUGGUCAUAAGUUAGUCCCUCACUCCAUAUAAAAAUUAUUUGUUUGUCAUAACCCUAACCCUAUAUGAAGAACAUGAAAUGACGCCCUUUCUCUUCUCAAACAUGUCCCUUCCAACUGCAGCCAAACUCGCCGAAAAACUCAAAAAAAACCGGCAAGUUCGCUCAGCCGAGUUCCAUGGUUCCCCCCCACCCCACCCCACCCCAUCUUCUGCUUCUCCCACGUCACACAUUUUGUAUCAAGCCACAUCAUUUUCAUGAGUUUUAUUGCUCUCCAAGUUCAAAUCAGAUGAAUGGAGGCUGUAGAUUGAAUGAAUGUCAGACUAGACCUUUCAUUUGUUCCAUUUCGAACUAUAUAAGAGAGAAAUCAGAACAAAAUUGCAAGGGAGUCUUUGGAGAGAAAAUCAGGGGAAAGCGAGAGGCAAGGGUCAACAAAAAAGGAGUUCUAUUCUAAUUUCGAUUUGGAAUUUUAGUUUUAGUUUUAAUUUCUUUUUUUUAAAAAGAAAUUUUUCUGCUCCUUCAUCUCAUUUUCGGGAUUCUAGUUUGAGGUUGGACAUUUUUGGGGUUGGAAACUGAAAUUCGAAAAAAGAACGAAAAGGAUUCUUUUUACUUAUUCUUCAUUCUGUUUUGGUUUAAUUUUAGAAUUUCUUUUCAAUUCCUAGAACAAAAAUACAAAAAAAAAAUUCCAUCUUGAGUCAAUUAGUAUUUCUGUUUCAAAAAAAAGAAUACAGAAAAUAUUCACGUUCCUUCUUCCUAUUAUGAGUCUCAAAUACGGAUAUUCAAUUGAGCUGAGAUCGAUUCUAGUUCGCAUUUUGUUCCGUCCGAGGUUCAAGUUGUCCAUUCCUAAUUAGGCUUCUGAUGUUUCAAUUUUGUGGACAAGUUUGUCAUUGGACUAUCUUGUAAUCGCCUACUAGCAGAUUAAUCGAAAGCUCUCAUUAAGGUUCACACCUUAUCUUACUCUAUGUAUGUAUGUGUGGAUCCAAGUAUGGUUAGAGCUUAACAUAUAGAAGUUUAAAUUACCUGCUAUACCUAAGUGAGUGUUAGUGAAUGCAGGUUGUGAUCGAGUUAUUAUAAUUUAAGGUGUUUGAUUUCUUCGUGUG